CUCAAAACUCAUCCCAAGAGAUGCUUUCUGGGUAGGUACUGGGUGCACCCACCUUGCAUGAGAUCUUUCUUUUUCCGUAUCGUGUGAUUUUUGUUUUAUUUAUUUAUUUUCUGCUUUGGUGUGCUUAUUCGUUUGUUGUUGAGUUUGCAUGGAUUUAACAGUUUUAAUAGAUUUUUAUUUAUUUUUUGCUUUGGUGUGCUUAUUCGUUUGUUGGGGUUUGCAUGGGUUUAACAAUUUUCAUUUAUAAUUUUUUUUUUUUUUUUUUUUAACCUGUGGUGAGCCAGUGGCUUUGAAAUCCAUAUGCAGAGCUCUGAACAUAACGAAAACUUGAAAGUGAAUGUUUAAAUAUGCACAGCCCUGUGACAAGUAAAGCUUAUUUAAAAUUUUUAAAAAAUAAAGUAGCAUUCAGGAACAAGUAAAGUUAAACACUCCAAACACCAUAACCACUGUUAUGUUAUGUUUUUCAACAGUUUUCAAACACUUUUUCACUGGACACUGCACUCCAUUCUCACUACAGCUACAGGGGAGUUGUGGCAGUGCAGAGAUUAGAUCAUUGGCUGAGAUUGAUCAGCUGAUGCUCUUAGCCAGUGAGUUAGUCAUUCAAUACAGGACUUAGUUCAGGAAAGCUGUCUUUAAGGUGUAGUGGAGGUGGAGAGCACCACCCAGUGGACCCCAAGUAAGAAGUCAAACCAUUCUAACACAAUUUGACUGCUUACAAUGGGGGUGCAUGAGGGCACUCUUGGCACCAUAACCACUAUAAGCACACUGGUUCUUGGAGUGUUCCUUUUAAGCUGAAUUUCAUAAACCUCCGGUAACAAAAAAAGCAGAGUGAAAAUUGCUGAAACUAACUAACAAAUCUUACUGUGACUACAUAAAGUAAACAUUUUUAAAACAUUUUUUGAAACACAAAAUCUUUAUUUUGGUAAUGCAAAGUAUACACAAAAUGAACAAGAGAUAUUUGCACAUAAAGUUGUAAGGGAAUCCCAAGCCACACAUAUCUCGCUUGAUGCACUUUUUUUUUGAGUUUUAUAAAACAGGAUUACUAGCUAUUAAGGACAUCUAUGUGAUGAGAGAAAUUGUAUAACCAUCAAUUAUACCUGACGCCCUGUUAGAGGUGAUUACAUGGGUUUAGAUAGAGAUGACCCGAAUGGUCAUUGACAUACUUAGGGAGAUACAUGAACAUCUCCCAGGGAACCCAUGAGGCACAGUUGGCAAUAGAGAUAUGUUGGACACACACAAAAGGCACAUCAGGCCGUAAUUACCAUUAAGUAGCCAUAGCUGAGUAAUGCUGAGCAAUCAAAAAUUUAAUAUUUCUAUUAGAGGUGAUUUCAUUAUGACUUGGGGGAUUUCACACGGGGGUAGAAAGAGUGGCCCGAAUGGUCAUUGACAUACUUAGGGAGAUACAUGAACAUCUCCCAGAGAACCCAUUGUAUAAUAAUGUUGGGGUCCAGUGAGGACUGUAAUUGCAUUCUGUGAAGGGUGCUAACGGUAUGGUGGCCCAGAAAGCCUUGGUAAGAUGCCGGUAUCCAGACUACCCCACAGGUGGGAUAAUAGGGUGAGGGAGAAUGCAAUUGAGUGUAGUACCCCUAACCAAGGGGGCAGCAGGGGGAAGGGAGGGAUUGCUUGAUAUUAAUUACACCAUUCCUUAAGUACUGGAGGGCUGGUGCUCCCUUGCAUUACAUUUAGCAAUCGUUAUGCCAGAAGAUUGUAACAUAUCGGAACAAUAGAACAAAAUAAAACAAAGAAAACCAGUAAAACCAGUUGUGAGGUGUUAAUCUAUAACAGUGGCCCAUUAAGUUCAUGGGGUACUAGAGCUGCCUUUGACAAUGGGAAGGUCUGCUCGCAGGCAAUUUCUUGUCGUCAUGGUACCUGUGCUGGCACAUGGAACAAAGUGGGUAACAUUAGCUGGAUCCCAUGGGUUUUGGGCUGACUCAGGGUUGUAGGUGGGAGAGACAGACCCAAUUUCUUUAGGAAGGGUGUUGCAUCGUUCAUGAAGUGGAGAACGUGGGUGCCUCCAGCCUGUGUUAGCGCCAGAGAGUUGUCAGUCCCCCAUCUGUAAGGCAAUCCUGCCGAUCGUAAUUGACUGGUAACAGAUCCAUAGGAUUUUCUCCAUAACAGAGUAGCUCUGGUUAAAUCCUGAGAGAAGGUCAAGGUGGAGUCCUCCAAGGCAAGAGGUGUUUUGCCUUUCAGAGCUGUCCUUUAUUAGAAUUUUUUUCCUGGACUGUAAGACAAUGGAGAAUAACGUCCCGGUUCAUGUUGGGUUUAGUGUGGAUUGUGCUGGGAAUGCAGUAGAGUCCAUCUAUGGUCAGUUUCUGUGCCACUGUGGGAGGUAGCAAAGCAGCUAGAAGGUGCCUGAUAUAGUGAGGCAUUUCUUUUGCUGGGACACCCCUGAUUUUUAGGUGUGCGACGUUGUCCGUCCUCUAUAGCCGUGAUUCUGGCAGACAGAAUUCUCUGAAGUGUUUGGAGUUGGUCCUGUACUGUGGACAAGUUAGCUUGUGUGUCCACAAUGUCCCCCUCAGCGACCUUUACUCGUUCAGUGACUGCUUGCAAUUCCAUUUUGAGUAUAGCAGAGUCAGCAGCUAAUAUCUUGUGGAUGUCGGCCAGAAGAAUCUUCAGGUCUCGCUUGUGGGCAGGGCUGAGUCAUUGGAGGAUUCCGCAGGUAUGGUGCAUGUUGCCUGGGAGUUUGAAGGCACCUGCAUUUCCCGGCUGCCUGGCUCGAAGUUGGUCUUGGCUGUGCAGGCCUUUGCAGCAUGGCCCCAAUAUCUCUGUUGUCCGAUCCAGAGAUGGGUUUUUGUGAUCUGUCGCCCAUUGCUGGCAUGCAGGCUUGUGCAAGGGGCGGAGAGGGAUGUGAAGCGGCCCUCGCAAAGUUUCCGCUGAGGAGGGAGCACGGCAUGCAGCUCCUUGAAAAGGCAUUUAAAUGCCUAUAGCUAGACGUGUCUGUCAUACUGGAAAUAGCCAGUAGAUGACAGCACCAUACCACUCUCUAUUUUGGCCUACAAUUCCGUUUGCUAAUAUUAUUAUUAUUAUUAUUAUUCAUAACGUGUCAACAAAUUCUUUAGUGUUGCACUGAUAUUAGUUGAGGGAAACCCUUGGGAUUAGGAUUACGUUUAUGGAUUACAAUUAUGUUUAUAAUAAGUAUUAGGUUUAUAUUUAGGAAUUCGAUUUAGAAUUCAUGUCAGGAUUGGGAUUAUGCGGCUUAAAAUAUACCUUUAGACCUACCCAGUGGUGUCUAAUUUCUCAUAUAGUAUGCAUUUAUGGGGUUGCAGAAUAUUAUUUAUUUAUAUUCAUAGCAGGCAUGGAUGUCUAAUGGGUUAAAAAAAACAGAUGGUACUUUAAUUUGUCAGGUCUCUAAUAUGGCACUUUGCAAGGUCACAAAUGCAUACUUUGAGGGUAUGGAUUUUUUCAGGAGAGUUUGCUGAGCAUAAUUUGGUAGGUUUGAUCACAGUGGCACAUACCAGAUUUUAAGAAUGCUUGGUUAAAAUGUAAUAACAGUAUGUAACAAUGUAAAAAAAAAAAUAGUUUUACUACAAGCUGUGACAUUAACUGGGGGAAAAUGCCAGCACGUGAAGACAAUAAAUACCAUAUAAUAUACUUUCACAAAUAGCAGUCCAAGGGGCGGGCUGGGACAGGGGGGCAGGGAGGCAAUUGUCCCCCAGGCCGCCCUAAAUCCAGGGCCGGCGCGUCCAUAGGGGGGCACAGGUGGACGCCUUAGGGCGCACCGGCUCUUGGGAUGCAAGAUUCUAGUGAUCGGCAGAAGGGAAGCGCUCCCUCCUACCAGGCCACAUUAUGGACGCGCGGCGUGCGGCUGUGUUUGCAUCCAAGGCGGCGAGGGAGCUCUGACUUCCCUGCUCUGCUCCCUCGUGCGCCGUUUGCUGAUGCCGGAGCAGAGCCGGGAGAUCACAGCUCCCUCGCCGCCUUGGAUUCAAACACAGCCGCACGCCUCCCAGCAGGCUGGGUGGAACGUUUUUAAUUAUAAAAAUAUUAAUAAUUAGGGAGUGUUUGUGUCUGUGAGUGUUUGUGUCUGUGAGUGUAUGAGUGUGUCUGUGUGUUUGUGAGUGUCUGUCAAAACAGUGAGAGUAUGUUUGUCAUUGAGUCUGUGUGUGACGGUCAGUGAGUGUCUGUGUGUGUGUUUUGUCAUUGAGUCUGUGUGUGUGACUGUCAGUGUGUAUACACCACUGAGUGUAGCAUGGUGGAGUGGAGUGUGGUACAAGAGCUUCUGUUUCCUGUACCCGGCCGAACUAACAGGAGGUGCUCACUGAGAGCACCUUUCCUGUCAGUCCGGCCGGGUACAGAAAACUGAAGCUCCUGUAUGGGAAUCCACUCUGCUCGGCCACGCUACAAGUGAGGUAGGAGGCACACCCGGAAAGGGAGGGGACCACUAAGGGGGUGCACCAAGGGACAGAGAGGGUAGGGGAGAGAAAAACCAAGGGACUGGGAGGGGAGAGGGGCUGCUUGUAAAAGAAACACACAGUGGGGCUUGAGAAGGGGAAAAAGAGACACAGAGGGGCUGGGGGGAGACAAAUGUGCUGGGUGUGAAAGAGACACACACAGAUGAGCUGGAAAGAACAAAAGACACAAAGGGGCUGUGAGGAGCAAGGAGAGGGGAUAAGGGUCACACAAGGGAGUUGUAAGACACACAAUGGGGAAAAGUAGGAGAUACUAAAGGGUGUAAGACAUUUAAAACAAAAAGGAAAUAAGAAACCCAAAAGGGAGGUUAAGAGGGACACGCUGUUUUGUGGGUGGGGGUAGAGGAGAAAUGCAUCUUCGCCUAUGUACCCAAAAAGCCUUGCACAGGCCUGCCUAAAUCAUGUUAAAAAUGGCCGCUGUCUCUUCCUGCUUGCCUGCCACGGAGGCAGAAAGGAUCUCUUGGCUGUCUCUUGGCUGCGGAGUCAGAGGGAGGGGGAAUGGAAUGGCCACUCACUGGCUGACAGGGAGUGAGAGCUGAUGCAUACCGGGAGUUGUAGUCCCUGCUAGGGGCCCCCUCACGCUCAUGUGGGGCUUUAACUCAGCAGUAAACUACAACUCCUAGUCCUCACACAGACAAUCUUCUUGGAAGUUGGAGGCAGAGGAUAUGCACUAGGUAGCACCAGCGGAGCGAGGGAAAGACUUGGUGUGACUGGCUGCAUUAUAAAACCAGGAAAAGGUGGGCAUGGUGGUGAGCUGAUUCGGUGGUGCAAUUGGCCACUUGACUGGUUUGGCCCCCAGGCUUAAGGCUGCCAGCCCUCCCCUGCGGCAGUCAAUUUGCUAUAAAGCCCACAAAUAAGAUAUAGGCCCAUCCAUCAAAACUCUAACUGUAAAAACUGAAAGUCAGGUCUCCUUUACAGGAUAGGGACAAAGACAGACAUUGGGAGACAUAAGAGUUUAUAGUGCAUUUCAUUUAAGUUGAGACAAUGUAUAUUUUUAUAUAUCGUAGUAGUCAGGGAACCUUUCCAUUCAUCAUAACUUAUUUAAUAAUGGGACAGAUGUAACUUUCUGGGUCUCCAGCAGUCAAUUCUGCGUGUCUAGAAACACGUGUUUUUUCAAGAUGUUCUUAUUAUUUAGAUUUUUUUUAAGCUUCUCCUAAAUGUGAGAUUUGUCGCUGGGUAGAUGUUCUCGGAGGUACUCUUUGGCUCUUAUGUAUGUACAGAUUUCUAUGCUGUCUAGAUUAUAUUCAGUACAUAGGGAAGUGAAGUAUUUAAUUUUCUUUUCUUUACAUUGGUCAUGAAUUUUUGUAAUACCGGAGUUAAUCCAUUUCUGUAAAUUUAAAUCCUCAAUAUUAUUCGCGAAUUGUCCUAGGGAAAGAGAGGUAAAUAUUGUAUUUUGGAGUGAUAUUUAUUUUUUAAAUUUCUCCCAUGUAAUCCAUACUCUGUUCAGAACUAUCUGAUUGAGUGAUAAUUGCGUGCUCAGUAUUGCAAGUUUUCCAUUGUUGUUUUAACUGGGGAAUGUCCAGUCCACUUUGGUCAACCCUUAAUGCCAGUCGCUUUGAAUUGAUACAGGCAUGCUUCCUUGACCAGACAAAUUUAUUAAAAAUGUAUUAGGUAAGAGUCAGACAGCUGUCUGGGCUUGCUGGAGGUACCAUGCAGAAGCGAUACACCCACUUAGGGAAAAUGUAUAAUGUUUAUUCUCCCCCACCAUGACACCUACCUAUUUUUCCUUUUGCGUGGCAAUUUUGUUUUCUGUGAUAGCUAUUAAACUUACAAGACAAAAAUACCAAAUUCUAAAAUUGCUCUAUAUUGAUUUUAUUUUACUUUGUGUACCUGUAACUACCAACUAUAAACUGAAAUCCUAGACCCAGUAUGUAGUCUGUAAACCAGAACAUAUAAAUUAAUUUAUUUUGAAAUACUUUUAUGAGCUGUAUUAAUUAUGCAUACAUUAUAAUUGCCAAAAACGUGGGUAAAAUGUGUUUUUGUUUUUUCACUUUUGUUUUGCAUUUUUGUGUGCUAUUUUUAUUUUAUUUUAUUCACAAUAAAUGAGCAUUUUUAUAUGCAUGUCACAUAAAAUUAAAGCCCUUUUUAUCCUUUAAAAAAAAAAAUAGUAUGUAAUGUGUCAGUGGAAAAAACGACAAAGAUGGAAAUUACAGUGAAACACAAAAAUGCAAAACUUGCUUUGGUUCUUCCAUACACAUUGUAUACCAUCACAUGUUGUUGUGUUGUUCACUUUUUCCUUUAAACAGAAUGAGACUAACGUAGUAAUAAAUGUCAGAUAUAUUUUAAGAUCCAUACUUACAUUUUUCAAUGCGUCUGGUCAGUCACUUGCUACAGGCAUAGCCUGACAUAUACUGACUACUCUAUGACAGAAAUACACCUGCUUCUACACCUGUCAGACUUAGUUUUUUUUUCUGCUUGAACUUCUAUCAUAGAAGCAAUAGUUGAACAUUUAUACUGACUCUUCGUCUUUUAAAAACCUGUAGAUCUGUCAUUAUUCCACUAGAGGGCACCUGAUGCUAAGCAGUGAUUGAGAUUCACUUGCUGAGUCAUUAUAGUGUAGAUUUAUUCAUAUUUUUGCAACUCUGUUUCUUGCCUGCUUUUUUAAAUUAAGUUAGCGAGGAGCUAUUUGUUUUGCAGUGUUCUAUGUGACUUGUGAAAGUGAGAUGAAUUGUAUGUAGUAAUGUCAAAAUCAGUAAAUCUGCCUCCAUUGAAUCAAAACAACGGAGUUUACAUAUAAAAAGUGUCUCUUCUGAAAAGUGGUACAAACAUGGAAAAGAAGAUGAGUCCCCAAUGUAAUGUGCCAGGGGUGGAGGUAGAUUCCACCAGUCUGCUUGCUGGUUGUGACACUUUUAGUACAACCGAACACUUUUUACACAUAACCCCCUAUAUUUCUGCAGUUAUCAAGGUCGCUGGUACUUCAUGUGGUACAAAGACAGCUCUUUGUAGAAACAUAGAUGCUUGUGUCUGAUGUUCCCUGAGUGUCUCCGCCAUUACAAACCUUUCCCUGUUUUAAAACUAUCGUAGUACAUGUUUAGGUACUAUCUUCUGAUAUUGUAAUAUAAUGACUUUGUUAUACGGAACUACAUGUUGUUUAGUGUUUUUUGUAACAUUUUGUUUGUUUUAUUAUUCACUGAAGUUCAUCGCUCACCGGCACCAUACUAAAUCAAAGGUGCUAUGUUAAUGCAGAUCUAAUGGCACAUGCACAGGUAGACAUUAGUUGUGGUAAGAAGAUAAUCACGUUGCUAAAUUUACAUCAGUGUCUCCCAUGUCAGCUGAAACACAAAGCUUUACUUGGAAUUUGGCCUCAAACUAACUUUCAGCUUUGUUUUGUCAUCUAUAUCCCUCAAAGGGUUAUAUACAGUAUGUAUAUAUGAAAUGAAGAAGCACCCUCUCUCAGUUCCUUUACUGGAGCGUUAAUUUCUGAGUUUAAUAGUGGCGUGGUUUAAUAUAUUUAUUAACCUACUAUCUAUGAUCAUUCUGCUGUAUAAUCUGUUUAGAUGUAUGUUUUUAAUUUUAUGUAUCAAUGUAGCUUGAAGAAAGCCUAUAGCACAUUGACCUUCUGAGAAUCCUCGUUUCUUGGCAAACAUAUUAUAUUAAAAUAUAUAGAACUGAAGAAGCAAUAGGACCAAUAAAACAAAUUGUUAUUAAAUUAGUAAUAACACUCAAAGCAACAAAAGUAUUAGAUUAAAACUUGUUAUUAUGCUGUGCAGUUAUACUUCCGUGACGUUCAAUGUAUUUAAAUGAUGUAUGAUAAUGCAAUAAUUAAUACCAAUAAUACAGCAAGUCUAUAGGAACAGAAGCAGGAUAGUAUAAUACAGAAGGGACCUGAUCUAUCUAUCUAUAUAUCUAUAUCAGGAAAAAACAUGGUGUCUGAUAGCAACCCACUAUUUACAAAGUAAUUAUAUAAAAAUAUUAAAAACAAAACAAACAAAAAAACAUGAAAAGUGCUGUAAAUAAAAUGGACAAAAUAUAUAUAAAAAAAAAUAAUAAUAAAGAAAAAAGAUUAAAUCAACUUAAAAGAAAAAAAUUACUAAAUAUAAGCUCCUUGGUGUCCGUGUUUUCAGUCAGUGAAUCCAAGAGGUUUCUCUCUAAGAGCACGGUUUCUCCCUGUUGUCUCCCACUAAUGUCUAUUAUUUUGCUCACUAGUUUGACGUUUAAAAUGAAUAAACCUAAACUGAGGACAAUAAUUACAAUGUAUGGGUACUCAAUGUUUCUUUUACUUUUUCUCUAAUAUUGUUCUGAUGUUCUUGGAUCCUCUCUCAAUUUAUGUUUGGUCUUCGCACACAUUUGGCACAACGAGAAGGUGGCGUCUACUUGUUGCUAUGAUGCAAUAAGUGUUGCAUCAUACUUAAGUUACAAAGUGCGAUUGGAUCAGUUAAAUUGAAACUGCAAUGUCCAAAUAUAAAAAAUAAAAAUCACAGAUUACUAUAUAUCCCUAAUGAAAACAUACAUGCUUUGAGAAAUCUCAACUGAGAAGUAUUUGCAAGGUAGCUGCUCUGAGCAACUGCCUGCCUCUUGAAUUUAGCUCCACUGAGCUAGCUUACUGGUGUUUCUUCUACAUUUCUUGAUACAACUAUCCAAAAUCUCCCAAUUAUUAUUAUUAUUUUUUUUUACUGAGUUUCUUUAAUUUGUCUAAAAAUUCAUAUUGUAAUUUAACACACACAAUUUAAGCCCUGCGCUCAUACUCCCACUGUUCCUAGGCGGCAGUACAUCAGCCCCAAUGCAUACAAUAAAAAUGAAGAAAAACUGUUACUUGCGCACUAUCCAAAAUCCCUAUGCACAUUUUAAAUUAGUGAUACUAAAAAAACUCCAGUUAUUUAAAUGUAAAUAGGGAUUUGCGAUAGUGUGCAAGUAACUAAGCCCCUCCCCCUUCCCCCCCUCUGGUUUUAAUUACAUCUUACAUUAAACUAACAUAUAUUCAAACAUGACUUUCAUCCAAGCGAUGUUUGUUCCUCUGACAUUAGCAGGAUGUGUCAUGACAUCUAACUCAUUUUAGUGUUCUGUGUCUGUAAUAUUUGUGGUAUCUUUGUGUUUUAUGGAACCUAGCAUUUCAUACUUCGAGAAAACGGUGCUCAGUAAAGACACCACUCCAGAUUCCGAAUUCAAAGCUUUUUCAUAUGGUAAAAAAGGGCGAUGAUUACAGGACCCUCACAAACCUAAUUAAGUAUCCUUUUGAGUAUCACUUUUUUCGUGUUCUGCUGUAUUUACCUUUCACGGAUAUUUGUGAAUACUCUAUUGCUUAUUGUGGUAUUUAUUGUGGCUCAAGGAAGCAAGGUGAAGGGUUCGUGUAGGACCCGCUUAGGGGGGUCCCUCCAAUGGCCAUUGGAGUAACUACAUUACCUCCAUUUGUUUAAAUAUACAUAGGGAUUUAGGAGAGAGCGCAGGUAACUUUUUUCCCUUUGGUUUUUACUAUAUAUUGGGGCUGAUGUGUACUGUGGUCGUUGCUGCCACCCAGGAGUGAUGGGACUGAGAGCAGGACUUAUCUUUUUGUAUUUGUUAUUGUGGUAUUUAGUCUACAGAAAACAUUCUUGAAGUCAUCAUUCAUUGUUUAGUUUAACACAGACAAAGAAACUAUUUCUGGCAUGUAACCUUAAUUUACACAGACCAUUAACCAUUAAUUGUGUACAGCAUGUAUCUAAUCUUGCACCUUCUAGAUUAUAAAGUUAAUAAACUUCCACUCUCUUACAUUCUCAAUCCCAUAUCUAUCACCAUCUCCAUCAUGUGUGGUCCGAGUGGCUCCUCUGUGCUUACGGGACGUGUGCCAUUAAUAUUCCUAGUAGGCCAUGUCUUCACUGCCAAAGGCAUUUCACCUCAUUUUACAGCUUUGUUUUAAUAAGGAUUUAAUUAUAGAAAUCAUGGCACCAUGGUCUCUAUUUAGUAGCAGCUUUGGCAUUGCUACUGAAUGAAGCAAUAAUUAAAGACAAGUAAAAGUGUGUGUAUAGAUGUUUAGACGUCUCAUGCCUGCUACUGCUGAACUAUAUUGCAGAGUAACCAAGACAGGCAUUUUUCCAGUAACCUGGACGCAGACGGAAUGUUCAGAGGCCAUUAGCUGCUCUGAUAAAUUGUUCUGUUCUACGUAGAGGAUAGGAGACCAGAUCUGGGUGCCAGGGGAAAAUCAUACAUGUUUAUUUUCUUCUUUAAAACAACUCUACCAAGGUCCACCUCAUAACAACUUCAGCUCAUUAAAGUACAUGCUGUUUCUCUUAAUGAACGACCAGUGAUUUGCUGAUAGUCUCAGCUGAGGCCCUCUGCCUAUCACCAGCUGUGUGGUAAAACUUUCUCAUACUGCAAGGGGCUGGGAUGAAGUAAGGAGACAGUGGUGUCAGUGUGGGAGGAACAAAUUUAGGAUUAAACCAUUUAACAAAUGAAAGAUGGCGCCAGGCACUCUAAUCCCUAUAACUAUUUUAGUGAGCGGAAGUUUUCUCGGGGUGGUAGUGUUCCUUAUGGGGUUUACAAUUACAGUUUAUACUUAUUGGAAUUUUGCAUUGAUAGAAGAUUGCAAUUCAUAGUAAAACUGUAACAUUUCCUUUCUAAAGACCGAAAUGGGAGAUACCUGUAUCUAAAGUGGGUAGUUCUGACUUCCAGAAUACAAAACACAAAUGGAGAUUUUUGAGGUACUUUAAAAUGAAUCUUCGCGAAUCAGGUUUUAAUAUUUGGGUUAUUUUGCUGCUUUAUCCCAUGAAAUUGCAAUGUUGACUUAAUGAGGUGAUCUGGGUGCCAGGUCCAUCUAGGGUUAACCCUGCCUGCUGUAAACAUAGUGUCAGAGAAACUGCUAUGUUUACAUAUGGGUUAAUCCAGCCUCUCAUUUACAGCCGCUAGAGGCGCUUCUGUGCCUCUCACUGUGAUUUUUCAGUGAGAAGACGCCAGCGUCCAUAGGAAAGCAUUGAGAAUGCUUUCCUAUGGACCGGCUGAAUGCGCACGCAGCUCUGGCCGCGCAUGAGCAUUCAGCCAGGGACGUCAGAAGAGGGAGAAGAGUCCCAGUGCCGAGGGAGCCCUGCGCUGGAAAAAGGUAAGGGAUUAAUCCCUUCCUCCCCCUUCAGCGCCACGGGAGUUUAUUUAUACUUAAAAUUUGCCCGAAUUGUAUUUAUUAGUGUUGCUCAAUAUUUGGAGAAUGGCAGGUCUAUUUGAUAUUUUGUUGCAUUUGCCAGCAAUACAAUGCUUUUUGCUAUUUAACAUUGUCUCCUUUAUGUGAAAGUCUAACAAAACAAAUAGUGUAUCCAUAAACACAUUUUGAGUUUUAUUAUUUGACCAUCCAUUGACUAUCUCAAGUCUUCAGAUAUACUUGUGAAAAAUUUUUUAUGUCAUCUACCAAGGGACAACUAAUUGAUGUGACAUUAUGUUCUAAAAUGCCAAGUUAUUUCUGAAGUAAAAAUACACAUCUCCUUUAUUUUUUUUUUUUUUUUAAAGCAAUUACAUGUUUUUCCUUUUUAAUUGGGUUGCAUUGAUCCAAAUGUAACCUGCUCAUUGUGUCUCAUGGUGUUCCAAUCAAUUACAAUAAAAGAACGUUUCCAUUUUUGUAAACUGAAUAAAGGGAGAUACAGCAUUUUCAAUUGAAAAUCACAAAUGAAUGUUGCACUGAUAUGUAUUAUAUUACAGAGAGUAACACUAUACAAAGCAGGCAGUCCUGGCCAAGAAGUAAAGAGUGAGUGUGUGUGUUAAGUUGAAACCACCAGGAAUAUAAAGAGAUGCCUUGGAUUUUCUUCAGAAGUUGGUUCACUAACUGACCUAACCCAUAAGUUAUAAUGCACAUACAAUAAGAUGGACCUGCAACAUGGUAGUUUCAUAUGAACCAUGCAUUGUACGCCAAUUCACAUAUACACAGUGUGUGCUCUUAAAAUACCUUGUAAUCUUCUUUUGUUUCACUGCUGUGUUACCGUCACACGAGAGGCUGUACACUUUGUGUAGGAUGCAGUUGCAGUGAUGGUUACAUUCAUAUGUUAUGUAAAGCUGGGUUUAUUGUGUAUACUUUUAAGUGAAUCUGGAAAUCUUGUCAUUACAGAUUUUGAUGUGACCUUCUUUUGGCACUGGAGCAGAUUCUUGGAUUACAUCCAGUGUGUGCUGGCUUUCACUGGUGUGGCUGGAUACCUUACCUAUCUGUUCCUGGACUCUGUGCUCUAUGUAGAGACAUUGGGAUUCCUUGCAGUGUUUACAGAAGCUAUGCUUGGAGUACCUCAGCUUUACAGAAAUUACCAAAACAACUCCACCGAAGGAAUGAGGUCAGCUUACUCAUAUUUUCACUUGUCUUCAGUCAGUUUACCCAUUUUUGGUCUGUUCCUUUUUACCCUUUCUUGUUAUAGUUAUUUUUGUAUUUAUAGAGAAUGGAAUACAUUGAUUAGCCUACAUGAUAUUAGAUAGGGACACAUGCUGUAGGGAUGUUAGAAUCCUUACUAGUGCACGUGAACAGAGGACCCUGGUGCAAGACAUUUUUGGGUGCCCCUUAAAACGGCACUGUCCCACCACAUUAAAAAUUUGUAUUUCAUAAAGAAGGAAUAUUCAUGAAAUACUAAUUUUGACUGUAUUGGAAUUUCACUGAAAUUCCAACCCAAGCAAGAAAUAUAAUAGAUACUACUUUGUCUCUGUAUAUUUCCUCUGCCUGAGUUUCUUAGACACCGGGUAGAGCUACAGUGUCAAUCCCGACAAUGACGGUUGUAUGGACUGGCUCUGUCUGUGGAGGAUCCCACGGUCUUGCAGAAUACUCCAUAGACCUCAAUACUGUACUGUUACAUACAGUAGUGAUGACGGCUCCUGGCACUGGAGGAAGUUUGCUGCACCCGCAAAGGGACAGGUUUAGGUAAAUAAUCUCACCUAUACCGUGGCCCCCCUCCUCCAGCCACCGGACCAUUAGCAGCAUUGUCACAGUCGGGGGCUCUUUGCAGAUUCUGCAAAGUCCCCAGAUGGUGACAGUGCUGCUAUAAGGUAAAUCAUAUUUAGGAUUAGGGGAAAUAGCAUACAUUGAAAGGGGGCCUGUUGCAUCGUCAUCAUUACAAAGAGCAUACGUCUUAUAGUGUUCCUUUAGGCAUAUAAACCUUUUCUGUAACCACGUACUUGUAUGUGUGCAUAGGUAGUAUUAAUUUUUCUAUUUUUGUGUGUUUGCUUACAGUCAGGAAGAAUGUGUGUGUUUGUGAAUAUAGCCUAAGUGUUUGUGAAUGAAAGAGUAUGUGAGAGUAUGAUGGUAUUCAUUUCUGUGGCUAGUUUGUGUGAAUGUCUGUGUUUAUUUGCAAAGUGUGCCAGUGUUUCAUACACAUAAAACCACUCUCUUUAACCCCUUAAGGACACAACUUCUGGAAUAAAAGGGAAUCAUGACGGAAUAUUUCCAUCAUAUGCCCUUAAGGGGUUAACAAGUUUCUUCUCAAACUCCAUUAUUUUCAGCUCCUCCAUCAUCGAACACCCAUCUCUACUUUUUUCAUCAGUCCAGUUUUCUUGUUUUUGUUUUCUGAGCCCCAACUUUUCCCAUCACCUCCCAAACUUUCUUUCCUGGCCCCUGUUCCUUGACAAGCCUUAUUUCCUUCCCAAGCUCUUUUUAGAUUAGUCCGUUCCCUCUCUGCCUUCACAUUCUCUUUAGGUAACACUUUUUUUCCCUUUGUUUCAAAAAGUUUUCCUUAAUAAACUUCCCCGUCCCUCCGAUAAUGAGAUCUGAUCUGCCUCACAACAGCUAGGUGGUCUCUGCAAAGAGCUGACCAAUUCAUCAAGAAUCUCUGUCUUUCCAAAAAUAAGUACCCCUGGCUGCUGUCCAUCCAUCGUGUGUUUAAAAUAAUGUGCAGCAAUCAGCUUGCUACAAGCACUGACUCGUUAGAGUCAUUCUCGCCGUUAGUAAAAGCUGCAUGUACUCGUGCAGUGUAGGAUCAGCAGCUGUGAUAAUGCCAUAAGAGUCCUUGCAACUUAACAGCUUCAGUAAGCAGAAGAAGGUAUGGUUCCACUUUUAAAAACAUUUCCCCCCCUUUAUCUACGUUUUCCAUUUUCCCGAAAUGGCAGAUUGAUAUCUAUAGACCAUAUUCUUUCCUAGGCACAACUUUGUUUUAUUAUAUCUCUCAACAAUGCUGGCGGGUCAACCGCAAAAUAACACUUUAUCGCAUUACAACUGGGAUACUUAAGAGACCGCUUGUGAAGGAGAUAAGUACCCUCUGAUAUCUAGCUCGCAGGACCCUCAUCAGUUUAAUUGUUGUGUGAAUGUGUGUAGAUGAAACCUGUUUAUUUUUACUGACUUAUCUUACCAUAUAACAGGCUUAUAUAACUGGUGGGGAAAAAUAGGUGUCAUAAAAUUUUGAGGAAUCGUAUAAAUCUAAUAGUCAAAUGAAGACUUGGAAACUUCUCAUCCUUUUUUUUUGGUGGGGGGCAGUGGGAAGAAGGAGUCAUGAUGAUGCUGAACAUUUGCAAUCCAAAAUUCCUUCUAAUGAGCAUUAGAUUAUAGAACAAAUGUGCUUUUUCUCUCCCGUGAUGGCAGAAAAAAGGUUGACUUGAUGUCCUCACGGUUAUUUCAGAGAUAAGACUUUUGUCUGUAGUUGUGUUCAAAGGGAUUUAUUUGCAUAGUUAAAAAUCCUUGUUGGUUGUGAUCUUUUUUUGUUUUAAUUGCAGCUCUCAUUUGAGCACAAGAUAAUAGGACACAUAAAAGACAAGUGCUAAUAUCCACAGGGAAAGUUAAUCCUUAUUUGUGACCUUGUUUCUUUCAAGUCACAGGUGCUUUCUCUUAAAACAUUAAUUAGCUGGUGACACCAAGAGAAGGACAAUUUUGAUUAAUGCAGAUCAGCUCUUAUUUAUUCAACCACGGCUUAAUUUUAUAUUUUGUCUCUCCUUGAAAAUGUUCCCACAGACUUUCAUGAGAACAAAGAAAAACUGGUAUAUGGGAACUUAGAGUGCACCUAAUGCCUCUGACAAUUCAAUAUAUACUCUUUUUCUAAAUUGGUCAUUCACAAUCACAAUAACAAAUUGCCUUUCACUGAGGUCAGCCAUCUUUUUAUUGUACCAUUAACUAUACCAUGAAUAUCUUAUAGUGUUGGGUUAAUUUUACAUUUAUAUUCUGGUUUACAGAAUGCCCUAUGAGAAGUAUGAUAACACAGUGAAACGGCAGGUUUAGAUAUGCAAUGCAUUAUACCAAAAAGUAAAAAAAACAAUCACCGCAAAUGUUUUUCUAUUGUGAUUAAACAUGUGAAUAUGUAUCUCUGAAAAUGAAGGACUAGUGGAUUGUAGUAAUUGUUUCUUAAUGUCAUUAGUGCUUCAUUCUUUCUGUCAUUCUUACAGCACAUUUAAUGGCUGUCUUUCUGCUCAUUUCUGGAUAUCUUCCACAAAACAGAACACACAGGGUUCUGUUCAUCUUUUUCUUUAUUAUUAUGUUAUUAUUUUAUUUAUAUAGCACCAACAAAUUCCACAGCGCUUUACAGUGGGUGGACAAACAAACAUGUAGUUGUAACCAGACUAGUUGGACACACAGGAACAGAGGGGUUGAGGGCCAUGCUCAAUGAGCUUACAUGCUAGAGGGAGUGGGGUAAAGUGACACAAAAGGUAAGGAUAGUAUUAGAAUAAUGACAGUUGAAAGAGAGCAAUCAGUUGGGAGCGAUUAACAGUUUAAUUGAUACCUUUUUAUGAAGAAUUGGGUUUUUAAUGAUUUUUUUGAAGGAGUGGAGACUGGGUGAGCAUCUAACGGAGGAGGGAAGUGAGUUCCACAGGAACGGUGCAGCCCUCGAGAAGUCUUGAAGGCAAGCAUCAGAGGUGGGAGUACGGACAGAAGAUAGACAUAAGUCUUCAGCAGAGCGCAAGGGUCUCGACGGGACAUACUUGUGUAUUAGGGAGGAUAGAUAGGUGGGAGCAGCAUUAUGUAGAGAUUUGAAAGCAAGAACCAGAAUUUUAAAUUGAGCCCUAUAUCUUACAGGAAGCCAAUGUAGGGACUGACAGAAGGGUGAGGUGUGUGCGGACAGGAAGAUGUGCCUCGCCACCGCAUUCAUUAUGGACUAUAACUGCGCAAGUUUGGAGCACGUAAGACUGAGAAGAAGAUUACAGUAGUCAAGGCGAGAUAGGACAGUGGAAUGGACAAGCACCUUAGUCGCAUCUGGCCUUAAGUAGGGUCGGAUACGCGCAAUGUUUUUGAGAUGGAAGUGGCAGGAUUUGGCGAUAGACUGAACAUGAGGCGUGAAGGAGAGGUUGGAGUCAAAGAGAACACCUAGGCAGCGAGCCUGCGUGGUGGAGCUGAUGGUAGAACUGUUGACUUGGAGACAGACACAGAAGUAGCAACAAUUGAGGGAGGAAAGAACAGAAUUUCAGUUUUGGUCAAGUUGAGUUUAAGGAAGUGGGUAGCCAUCCAGUUAGAAAUAGCAGAAAGGCACUCAGAGACACUAGUCAAUACAAAAUAUCCAUCUCAUGAGCAAUUCUGCGGUUAUCCCUAUGCCCUAGUGCAUUGUAUUGGCAUAAUAUUUACAGCUUGAAUUCAAAUGAAUUUCAUUCUAAGGACAGAGUAGUCAAACUGAAAGCAUAGCUGACUGAUUUUUUUUUGGGGGCAAUUUAUACCUUCAAUUUAAAAUUCACUUUGAAAUCUCACAUUAGUGAACAACCCUGUUAAUUCUGCUCUAUCUGUCUUUCUUUGUUUUGAAUUACUUUUAUGCCCUUCUUCUACUUUGUCUUUUUUUAUGAUCCGCUCCUCUUUUACGACAGUGCUCGACAAAUCCCAGGCACCAAGUCGCUUGGGUGUUUGCCAACUCCCGGAUUCUGGAGGUGGCCGGCCCGGGGAGUCUGGAGGCGGCCGGCUGGCCGGCCUGCCCGGGGAGUCUGGAGGUGGCCGGCCAGCCCGGGGGGGUCUGGAGGCGGCCGGCUGGCCGGCCAGCCCGGGGGGGUCUGGAGGCGGCCGGCUGGCCGGCCAGCCCGGGGAGUCUGGAGGGGGCUAGGGAGUCUGGAGGCGACCGGCCACUGUGUGCCAUUGGCCCAGGUAGAGUGGAGCCGGGUGGCAAGGGAACAGAAAUCUUCCUGCACUUAUUGCUCUGUUCAGUUGCGUACCCUGCUGUGAUGACAGGGCCCAGAAUAUGAUGUCAAAAGAAAUAAAACCGGUUGCGUCAAAUAACUGAUCAGUACUGGUAUUGCUAAGAAAUACAGUUGUAUGCAAGUAGUAGUAACUGGAAUCUAUAAUUGCAAAGAAUGUCCUCGUAAAACAAUAAGAAAGUCCUUGAUAACGGUGGUAGUUGUAGUAGGUAGUUCAAUGCAUUUCACCAAUUAACAUCGGUUCCAAGAUAUGAAACGACAAUAAAUAACAUAAAGAACGAACAAUAGUGUUAUAUUGUUUGUAACCAGUGCAGAAGCAAUAAUUUUUAUAAAAAUACACUCAGAAACGAGGAACCAUCUGUUGGCUCGAUUGUUUUUGCUUCUGACAAUAUAAUCCUUAUCACAAGAUAUUAGGUGCAGAAUCACAACAAGAUCUUUGUAGGGACACUGGCAUGUCUUAUGUUAUCUUCACAGUAUACGCAUUUCACAUGGAAUACAUAAAAAGUAAAUAAAUAAAAUAGUGCAACUCAAUAGAACAAACCCAGUGUGUAUAUAAAAAGAGAAUACAAUGCACUAAAAAAAAAGCGCUUCCAAUUCAGCUACAACACCCUAGAUUCACUAUACACACUCUGCAUUCAUUGCAAACACACUACAUUCACUAUACACACUCUGCAGUCACUAGGCACACACUACAUCCACUACAAAAACACACACUCUGGAGUCACUAUACAAACACACACUCUGCAUCUAAUGAAUACUAACAUUACAUAGAUUACUCAAAACGUACAAUCUGCAUCCACUAUACACACUGCAUCCAUGGCACACAUCCCGCAUCCACUAUAUGGAUCCACACACACCACAUUCAGUACACACAUACACUUCAUCCUUGUGGGCAGACUCGGGGCAGGCCCUGUGGGUGGACCUUGAGGUGUGUCAGGGGCCCCAAAAUUUCUGAUGGCAGCCAUGGCUGCACCAAUCAGUAUCUUCUCAUAGAAAUGCAUUAAGUCAGUGCAACCUUCAGCGCCUCCAUGCAGAGUAUGGAGACUCUGAAUGUAAUGCUGCUCACUGUGCAGCAUUGGACUAGGAAUCGUCUCUAAUGGUCGUAUGAGCUGUUACUAGGCAGCAAUGUAAACAAUGGCUUUUAUCUGAAAAGGCAGUAUAUACAUUGAAAAGCCUGCAGACCUUAAACUGUAGUGGUUCUGGUGACGAUCGUGUUCCUUUAAGAAUUGUAUUUUUGUUGUUGAAAAUUAAACUUUGUUAGUUUAAAAAACAAACACACAAACAAACCUGACUCCUAAUUUUUUUUAGCAGUCUCCUAGAUCUAAGAAAAUUUGUAAAGCUCUAUCCUACACAAAGCACAGUUAAAACCUUAAAUCCUCUGCAUUAUAAUUCACUAUGUAUUAUAUAUUCAUUAAGAUAGAAAAUGGCUCUGGGUGCAGGUAUAAUUUAUUUAAAGUCAUUUGUUUUUGUCCAUCUUGGUCUUUUUUGACUUGAACGUUGAAAACCUCUUUCACAAUGCAUGAUUAUUUAACAGAUAUUCCUGAUACUCUCCUUCCAACAUAGAACAAAAAGAAAUGACACAAUGUAGAUCACAGGAACAUUAAGCAACUAUGGGCUACGUUUUUUUAUUAAGUUGCCACACACGCAACCUAUCUGGAUAGUUAUACUAUCUUUUUUUUUUCUGCAGCCUUUAGAACAAUGUAAUUUUCGUUGACCCAUUUAAUGCCAUUCAUCCAUUAUGUGGUCUAUCUAUUUGUGUACCUCAAUGCCGCAGUAAAUUAACAAAGCAUUUUAUAAAAUGUUUUGAGCAUGUGAAACUGGAAAUAAUAUCAUCAAGCAAUUAAAGCAUAAAGAAGACAAGUACAAUUUAUAAUAAGACCCGAAGGAAAAAAUGCAUUCCAUGGUAUCGUUCCCUGACCAAAGACUGCCUCCUGGAAGUACCCUGUCAUAAAGUACAGAUCGCUGAUUUGACAGCACCUGAGAGAUGAAUUCAUAUGUUCAAACUGCGGUUAAAAUGGAACCAUCUUUUGCCAUCUGACUACAGUAGAGUUGGUAGAACCUCAUAUAUAAAAAAAAAACCAAAAAAAAAAAAACAGGAGCAAUCAAGCCAUGUUAUACAUUUAGACAACAUUUCCUUUUCAAAGAUGAAUCUCUACUAGUUUUGUCCUGUCAUCAUGUCGGUUAUUGAUGGGCUGUGAGAACGGUAACCUACGGUGAUUAUUCUGUCAUCUGAAGUGACAUGGAUCUUGGUGUUAUCUGCAUAGUGGUUGUAUUCUGUUCCAUGCCUGGGUUGUCUUCCCAGGACUGACAAUAAUAUUGAACAAUAGUGGUGCUAACAUUGAGUCUUUUGGCAUCCCAGUGUGGAAUGAGUUUAUUUUGGGACAGCGAAAAACCAUCACUAUCGGCUGUGAAUGUGUCUUGAGAAAGAAUGAGAUCCAUUGAGAAGGAUGAUUUACCAUUUAUCUCCUUAACAUACUAUGAACACUAAUGACAUAUGAACAGCAAUGGCAGUAGACAGAAAACAGAGAAUGGAGUCAGCGCUAAUAUAUCAAAAAGAGAUACAAGGGGCAGCAAUCCCAAACAAGGACUCCCUCAAGUGACCUUGGAAUAAAUACAGAAAACAAACAAAUAGAAGGAUGGGACUGCGCCAAUAGACAAAAAUAAAAAGUCCUAAUUGGAAUAUGGAAAUAAAGUCCAAUGUAAUAAAACUUGGUAUUAUGUUCGUCUCUGUAGUUGUGGAAUUUUGCUCCUUCCUGGUAUGUGGAGGAGGGUGAUGGUUGAUGAGAUGGUAGAGAAUGAUCCAACGGGUAUCCAAAUAAAAAAGAAGAGAUAAAACUCACUUUUAGUAGAGCUUAAUCCAGCUCUGGUAUGGAUAGCUUGCAGCAGUAUUAUCCCCGCUUGUAGGAUAUACAGUGAGCUUCCUCUUCAGUGUGAUGAACGGCAACCAGGGGGAAGAUAAAACGAAAAAGCAGUGAUAGUGCAAUAUGUCCCAAAAAGUUGAUAAAAAGGUAUAAAAAUAUAAUAGAUACACUCACAUUUAAUAGAGCUUAUACUAGCUCUAGUAUAGUAGGCAUGCAACGGUAUGAUCCCCGUAUCUGGGAUAUGCGGUGAGCGGUCGUUAAAACAGUUCUUUAAGAUGGUAACAGGAGCUCAGGAAGAAGAUAAUAAAACAGCAAUAGUGCUCUCAGUAAAAUAAUGCUGGAUAAUAAAAUAAAAUAUACUCACAAUAUAUAGGGCAGGCUAACUGCUCUAGGGUAUAGGCACGGGUGGUAUGAUCCCCACCUCAGGAUUCGUUGGAGUAUAGGAGACAAUAGAUAAAAAACAAUAGAUAAAAAGCCAGGUAGUUAAAAAAUAAAAAUAAAUAAAAGAUAGUGGUGCAAGAGAAUAAAAUGACCAAAAUCUAUUUAUUAACAGUAAUUAAAAAAAAUUUGUACAAUAUCCAAACGCGUUUCACCAAUGUAGGCUUUAUCAAUGGAUUAAAAACAUGUUAACCUGGCUUAUUAGGGUUUAUAUAGGCUUAGAGUAACUUUGAAAGUUGCGCCAAAACUGCUCUGACCAAUCACAGAGCAGAUUGUAAUUACUCAUAUAAAACAGUAAAAAAAAACAUAUUAAAUACAUAAAUAUAACUGAUAGGAUUUAAAAUAUAUAAUUAUGGUAUAAAAACGAGGUUUGUGUAAAGAAAUAUAAUUACUAUUUCCUGAAUCAUGUGACGCGCAUCAUAAGCGCGACGUCACUUCCGGUCGCUUGGUAUGCUGGGGCAUGUAGUUGUAUCUUACACUACAUGCCCAAGCUGUCUACCGAGGGGGUUUUAGAGCCAUAUGAUAGGCUCAAGAGGGGGGAAUAACUGUGGACCAGAGGGGAGAGGAAGGGAGAGGGAGGGAAAUAGCCGAAAAACGGCUAGGUAAAGGGAAAGUGAGGGCGCGGCGGCCAUCUUGGUUGGGGAAUGGUUAACAUUAGGGUAUGGAAGAAACAUAGCGGCGGCCAUAUUGGAGGGGGCAGAAAACCAUAUAUACUUUAAAUGGACAUAUUUCUAUAAAGAACAUGUAACUUAAAACUUAUAAUGAAAUAAGGUAUAAUGCUAGUCAACAAAAAGUUAUUAAGGAAAUAAAAUAGGUCUAAAAGUAUAAAAAAGUGCAUAUAUAUAAAAAAGCAGACAGUGAUGAAUAGUAAAAAUACAAUAUUAUAUAAAAUUGAAUAAAUCAAAAUCAGCAUUUAAACCAUUUGGAGUUAGGGUUUUUAAAUUAAAAACCCAUUCCAUUUCACAUUUUCCCAGAAUAUUUUUUAUAUUACCUCCUCUCCAUGGAAUAGUGCAUUUUUUUAUACCAAUACAUUUUAAAUGGCGUGGAUCGUUAUUAUGGAUAGAAAAAUGUUUAGAUACGGUGUGGUUUUGGUAUCCAUUUGUAAUGUUACGACAGUGUUUGCCUAAUCUUGUUUUUAAGCUCCUAGUGGUCAUGCCAACGUACUGCAAACCACAUGGGCAUUCCAGGAGAUAAAUUACAUUCUUAGAUGCACAAGUAAUAAAAUCUUUAAUAUUAUAUAUUUUGUUGGUUUUAUUUGAUUUAAAUUGUGUAGUUUUUGUUUUGGUAGAUAGAUAGUAGACAGGUCUGGCAUUAUAAGCAUAUACAAAUGGCAUCCAUACAUUGUGGAGAUUAGCAACACAGACCAGCAGUCUCUGAUCAUGUUUGGUCCAAGAACCCAAAUGAGCAAUAUCAGAAAUACUAGUUAUUUGCUACAGCUCUUCGACUAUGUCACAUUUUGUGUGUGUGUGUGUGUGUGUGUGUGUGUAUAUAUAAUUUCAAAUAACACUUUUUUUUCCCCCCUGAAAUAUACAGGUACAUGAGAAAUUUCUGAAAAAAAGAGUAAUUUGAGAUUUGGCUGCCUAUUAUUUAUCAAAAUCUAGCCCUUGCAGAAAGGAUACUUUAUCUACACUUUACUUGCUGGAACAUGGGUUACAUUCCUUUAUUAUUUUCAAAUAUUAUUUAUUGAAAAGUUUAAAAUUUUUACAAUAUACAAUAUUUAAAUAUUCAAAAGCAGGUACAGUAAUAAUUAUAUAAUUACAGCAUUAUAUUAUUAUUUUGUAUAUAUUUAACAAUGAUCUCAUUUAAAUCCUUGUUUGCCCUACUGUCACAGACUGCAAGCCCAUUUCGAGCACCUAUAUUGCAGUAUACUGUGCAGACUGCUUUUUGAAAUAUUAGCAAUGCUUACUUGAUGCCAAUUGAUCUUUAUUACUACAGUGGCCUUUUCUCAGAGCAGGAGUCCUGUCUUGUGUGUUUUAUAUUUGUACAUUUGCCUUUAAGCAUGGAUAAUCCUUUGUGUAUUUCUCCUGAUUCGUGUGGACAUGAUGUAUAAAACAGUCAGUGGUACCCUUGCUAGACUUCAGAAAACACAUCACCAUGCUCCUUCAACUUUAAGGGUGUGAUCACCGCAAGUCUGUAUGUAUCAAUCUCAACUGUCAAAGACUGGACUCCAAGAAAAAAACAAAAAAAACAAGCCCUGUAAUACAUGUAACGUUUCAGAACUAUCUUAAAUCUGGAUAUCUUUGCAUAUUACAGCAGAUGAUAAGGAAAGUGACAUAUGCCGAUAGGACACGCAAUCAGUUGUCAAGUGUAAUAUACUAUGUCCCACUUGCACAAUCUAACUUUUCUAAUGCCUAGUCUAAUUUCAUUGAAAAAUAUUACAGACCUGGAACUGUUUGAAAGAUUCCGAGCCAUUAUUGCUGCUGAGAAAGAGAGGAGACCUGUAAGAUAUCUUGUAAAAGAAUGGAUCUUUUUUAAUGAAUUAAAUUAGGUGGUCAUCUCCCUUUUCAAGGGCUUUAUUCACCUAAACAUGCACACUUGAUAAGGGUGUUGUUGAUAACCAAGAGAUAAAACAUAUAAUAAUAAGUGAACUCUACUUUAAACUACCGUAACUUUAAAACACAUAAAAGUUUUAAACCAACAUAAGUUAAAUGGAAAUAAUGGUUAUUUAGUUACAUUUAUUUUUAUAUAGUUUUUUCAUUUUUAAACCUGCUUUACCAAUUUCUGUAUUUCAGUUUCUUUAUAUUCUAGUUGCUUUGUUAUAUAUUCUUUGAGUACAUUUAAAAAUAUAUUUACUGUGUAGCCUUGAACGUAAUGUGACCAUUUAGUAAAAGCAAAGGAUUAUAUUAGGUAUUGAAAAAAGAACAGCAUGUUCUGCUUGUUUCCUUGAGGCUAUAGAAAGGCAAUCUCUCCGUAACCGACAUGUUUCGGGCUAGGUAUGUCUCAUAUUAUUUAAAUGGAAUGUUUGGAGCAACAUCUUCCUAAAAACCUCACAUAUUGUACUUUUAACUCUAUAGAUUCUAAGUUAGAUUUCAUUGCACUUUUGUCAAAUGUACUUUAUAUGUUUUUGAACAGAUUUUGUUUAAAAUAAAUUCAGCAAGUGAUAUCUCUACAGUAACAUGAAUAUUUUUUUUGAUAAUUAACUUUGAAAAAAAUGAUCUGAAUGAAAAUCAUGAGUUUUCUGGAAAUUAUACUAUUGACUAAAACAUUGAAAUACUUUGAAGUCACUGUUCCCCUUCUUGACCGAUGAUGUCAUUAUUCUGUCAUGAUAGCCCGUUUUUUAAAGGACCCAUUGUGGAAUAAUUAUGUUUCGCUGUUGGUACUAAGGAACCUCAGGCAUCACCCAAUAUUUUGUGCUACCCUUUUUCAAGUGGGGCCAUUAUUAGUGGCCCAUAAAUGACAGUGAGCUAUGUGCAACGCUCAAAGUGAGCAUUGCACGCAGCCCUUUAAUCUUCCAUGGCUGAACUUCCGUAUUCAGCUAUGACCCAGUGACGUCAUUACUGAUGUCACCAAAGUUUCUUAUCAGAAGGCCUGAUCAGGUCUUCCUGCACCUGUUGCAGAGGAUAAUCCAUGUUUGGUUGUGCAUGCCUCUUCAUGGGUGAUUUAAGUCAGUGACUACAAAAUUCACUAAGAAGGUGACAAGUAAAGAACCUUCUAGUUACCAAGCGGCUAGAGAGGCUUAAUCUAUGAGACCACCGAGCGUUGUUGUGUUGACUGUGACAGAUAUAUAUAUAUAUAUAUAUAUAUAUAUAUAUUUCUUUUUUUUUUGCAAAAUGCUAACUGUGAUUUGGGCCAUAGGGUGACUUUCUUCAGAGUAUAAAUAUGGGUGAUGGCCUUGUGAGACCACCAUCAUUAGACAUAGAAGGCCUGGAAGGCUAUGCUACUCAUCAACCUAUAACCAGUACAUCUAUCCCUACUUCAGUGACGUAACGAGGGGCAAUUUUUUGAAAUGUGUGAAGAAAAGGAGUUGACAAUUACCUACUAAUAAUAGACAUGGGUGAAGUAAUCCCAGUAUAACAUGAUACGUGUGACUUAGACCUACCCAAUGGGGAAAAAGCAAGCUAAAAGAGCCAAAAUAGUGUGUGUGUGUGGUAAAGUACGCAUAGAAGAGUGCUAAUAGAGAAGAGAGGAUUAUAUUACCUUCCUUAUACAGACAGACUUUAAAAAUGAGACUGCUGGGCCACUAUGACAGUGAGUACCUACUGAAUGAAGGGGGAAUAUGAGUGAGUAUCUAGACUGGCACAAUAACUCUUUCCAGGAACACCUACCUUGCAAAAUAUAGAAGAGGUUUUAUAUAUAAGAAAGUCCCUGAGCGUCACAGAAAUAGUGAGAACCUAGUAAUAUGAGGAAAGUGUAUGGUAAACAUAAGAUCGAAGCUCGCUUAAGUGUAGAGAAAUCAUGCCUAAUGAAACAUAAAUCUAGUUACCGUUAACAAUACACAACCUUUAGAAAUCUACCCCCCAACCUUACUUAAGGCGGCACUGUCAUGCCGAACUUACCUUUCUUUAAUUGAUUGCUCUUCUCUCCCUCUGUCAGGAUCUGUUCUUCAUUUCUUCCUGUCUGCUCUCGUUUUCUUUAAAACAUAAGACAAAGUAGGGACUACUUUGUCUUAUGGAGGUUUCCUACGCCUGACCAGCUGUGACAAACGGAGGAGCAAAGUGUGCUUCAUUUCCGGUGGUCAGAGCAAUUUUCCCACAGUUCUCACCUUUCCUCCGUCAUCUCGCGAUGCUUCCUGUCAGUAUUCCCGAACGUCCUGUCACUUAGACAGAACGCCGGUGAAACUACCGAAUUUCGUCCUAACAGAAUGAGAAUAGUUUCUCCAUUCGUGUUAGGAAGCAUUUCGGGACAUUGUUCGGAUCGGAAUUUCAUUUGAAUGAAUGAAACUCCGAUCCUAUUCGUGCCACAGCUGCAUCUUGCAGCCGCUUAGUAGAUAGCUCCCCAAUUCCCACGGUAUCAUGGAGCUAUCUGCCAAAAGGCUGAAAGACCUAAAUUGGUCUUUCAGCCAAAUUUACUAAUACUAUGUAAAGAUUACUUAGUAUUAGUAAAUUCUGCCCCUACUUGCUAUCAUGUCUAUUAAACAGUGAGCAGCCUGUGAGUCUUUUCUCUUGCCCAUUUUUCCUGAAUUUAACACAUGAAAUUCAAAAACUGUUCACUUGCUCCCUAAUAUAUCACACCCAUUUACAGGUGCCAUUGCAACAAUAUAAUGUUAUUCACUUCCCCUGUCAGUGUUUUUAAUACUGUUGCUGAUUAGUGUGUGCAUGUUUGUGUUUUUGUAUGCAAGUAUUUAUGUGUAUCUCAUAAUGAAAUGUGCCACACACUUAUGUGUUUUUGUAUGCAAGUAAUUCUUGCAUUAAGGAAUUUCUUUUAUUGCAGGACUUUGAUUAAAAUAAUUUUCUGUGUUUUAUAUGUACAGUGAUGCAAAUAUAUCUUACAAAAAAGUACGCUUUUAAUGUUGUGCUCAUUUAAAAGCCACGUUUUGUAUUUAAUUUGUUUUUUUUAUUUCUGACAUUUUUCCCGUUGGGGGUUUGUUAGGAAAAUCCAAUAAUGUAUGCUGUGAGCAUGUUUCACAGUAAAUAUGUGCAUUUGCAGAAGCACUACGCAAGGUGAAAAAAUUCCAACCUACAUGGUUUUUAAAUUGAAGUGGAAAAAUACUGCUCAGGGGAAGCUAGAAAAUCCAAAAUAGGUCGGUACUAUAAUAGAAUUGUCAGUUUAAACUAAAAGGAAAGUGACAUUUAAAAAAAAAAAUCGACGUCGUGGACGAAAAAGUUUGGCUACAGAUACAAAAAAAAAAAUGCAUUGUUCAAAACUUUGGAAAUAGGGCAUCUAAUGCACUGAAGGAAAGCAAUAUGUUACUAGUUUAAGGAGAAUAAGUGGAACUUUUAUAUAAAAUUCAAUGCUUCCUUUUGCAGUUAACAUAUGCACGGAGCUUUUUAAAGUGCCGCUGCCAUCCCAAACUUAAUUAUUCUCUAAUCGUUUUCCUUUAUCUUCCCCUGACAGAAUCUGUUCUUCUACUUUUCUUAAUUUCUGAUCUAUUUCUCUUUACAAAUAUAAGGCAACGUAAGGACUACUUUGCCCUAUGUAUAUUUCCUCCACUUGACAGAGUAGAGAUUAAAGGAACACUGUAGGCACUUUAACUGCUUCAAUCAUUAAAGUGGCUACAUUGUCUGCAGUCCCCUGGUGCCAUCCUUUAAUUUUUUCAUCCAGUGUUAAACUGUUUUAAAUAUUUUAAUAGUGCAUGAGAGUCCCCAGUAGCUGGUCCUUGUGAGGAAGUAUGAGCCUAAGCAACAAUGGGCAGCUGUGAUUGGUUGAGAGUGUCAGCUGACCAAUAAGGACUUGUAGAGUUGGGAGGGGGGCGGUGGCACAAGGUCACAUCAGUGCCACUUCAAGACCAGCUUUUUAUGUUUUUUGGCUUAAGUAAGUAUUGUCAUAUUUGUGCCAAAAAAUUGAUUAACACUUGGGUGAGGGGCCUAUUUUACAUACAUUUUCUUUCAUUCUUUGUAUUUGCUACCAAUUGGUGAACUUUAAACUGCGAGUGAGAGACUGUGGCGGAUCUACCACGGUGACAGGAGGCCCAGCUACCCUGUCAACCCUCUGCUUAGUGGCAGAGCUACAGGGAUCGCUGAGGCCUUAUAUGCAACCAUGCCCUCCGCAUUCUGCUUGUCGGAGGUGGCCGACUGACCACCAUAGGGCCCUGCAAGUCCGGGGAAUAUCCACUACAGGUAGGCACCUGCUUAACUGGACGGUAGGAGCCUACUCUGGCGAAAUGUAUGCAUCCAGGGGGGAGAUAGAGGCGGCGUCAAGGGAGCACUGAUGUACCUGCUCUUCGCCAUGUUUCAGACAUCGCACUGCAUUUCUGCAGGUACCUUUAGCAAUGUACACACAGAUUUUUUAAAUAAAGAAUAUAGGUGUAUGAAUGACAAUUGCUUGCAUGUGAGAAAGGCGUUUGGAAACUUUAAAAAUAUAUACUUUCUCAAAAGACUAAAGUGGUAUUCUAAUCUACUUGCCCAUGGGCAUAGAGUCUCAAUCUCUGGCCCCUAUCUUCUUUCCCUCAGUCUCCCAUCCCAUCCCCCAGGUAGUGUGAUGUGUGUACUGGCAGGGUGUAGUGUGUGUUGUUUAGUAUGUAUGUGUGCUGGCUUGUGUAUUGUGUGCUGACUGUAUGGAGGAAAAAUGGAAAAGCAAAAUGAUUUUUCAUAAGGGCCAAUUAGAGAUGGUUAGAUGACUGGGUCAGAGCAUCUCCAAAAUGGCAAGUCUUAUGGAGAGUUCCCGGUUUGCAGUGGUUAAUAACAACCAACUCUUUGAUGCACUUGGAGAGCAAAGGCUAGCCGUAUGGUCUGAUCACACAGAAGAGCUUUUGUAGCUAAGAUUGAUGAAACUUAAUGCUGGUCAUAAUAGAAAGGUGUCAGAACUCAUGGUGCAUAAGAGUUUGCUGUGUAUGGGGAUGCAUAGCCGCAGAUCGGUUAGAGUGCCAAUGAUGACUUCUGUCCACUGCCGAAAGCACCUUCAGUGUAGUUGUCAGUGUCAGAACUGAACCAUGGAGUAAUGGAAGAAGGUUGCCUUGUCUGAAGAAUCAUGUAUUUUUUUUUUUUAAAUAAAUAAAAUAAAUCAGAUUGCUGUGUGUCAUUUAUCUGGGAAAGAAAUAGUAACAGUAUGCACUAUGGAAAGAAGGCCGGCAGAGUCCGUGUUCUGCUGGGAAACCUUGGGUCCUGGCUUUCAUUUGUGGCAUUUGACAUGUGCCACCUAUCUAGAGAUUGUUACAAACCACAUAUCUCCCUUCAUGGCAAUGGUGUUUCCGGAUAGCAGUGGCCUCUUUUAGCAGGAUAAUGCACAUUGGCACACUGCAAACAUUGUUCUGGAAUGGUUUGGGGAACAUGACAAAGAGUUCCAGGUGUUGUCUUGUCCUCCAAAUUCCCCAGAUCUGAAUCCGAUUGAGCAUCUUUGUAAUGUGCUGGAACAACAGAUCUGAUCCAUGGAGUCUUCACCUUGCAACUUGCAGGACUUGUGCCAGACACAACAGGACACAUUCACAAGUCUUGGGGACGCAUCAGAGCUCUUUUGCCUCUACACAAUAUAAUGCAGGUGGUUUUAAUGUGCUUGCUGGAGUUUUAGAACGCAGUUCAGUGAUACAUUCUACUCACAUGAACACUUUUGAAAAUGUGAGUGGGAUGAUUGCUUUAUACUUCAGUUUUUAAUGCAUAUAAUAAAAAGUAUUAUAACAGUAGGAUAUAGCUAAUAUUAGAAUGAAUAACAAGUAAAGCUGUGAAAGUGACCGUGCCAAUCCAGAUUGUAAUACGGCAGAGCUGUGCUGAUUUUGCAAAAGAACGGGAGAAAAGAUUGUUAUUCUGUCAUUUCACAUUCCGGAGUCUUAAUAUAGCCAUCAGGAUAUGAAUUGCACUUUUGUUCUCCACACCAAGAUAUUUACAAAUUGCAAAUGGGUACAAAGACAGAUGAUGAAGUUAAUCAUGAGGAUGAUUUAUGGGCAAAGGGUAGCACAAUAUAAUUUUGUCUGUAUAGGAAAAAUUGAAUUGCAGAACCUAAGUUAAUUGCAGAAGUAAAAAUCGCAGGAAAAAAAGGAAAAUACCCAACCCUCUGCUGCUCCUCUGGGAAUGAAAUCACAACAUCAGCUUUCAUAUUUAUUUUCUACAGAGGAAGGAAAUAUACAAACAAACUUGAAAGAAAAUAAAGAUAGAUCAAGCUCACAGGUGCUUAAUUCGUUAUUUCUUUACAAUGUUUAAAUAAAACUGGUAGAUUACUGGCAGGAAAUGGCCCGAAAAGGCAUUAGAAAACUGGCAAACCUUCAGAGAAAUGCAAUAAAAUUAGAAAAAGGAAUUGCAUUAUGAAGAAAAAUUGGAUAAUCUGUUUUUAUUUUAUUGAAGCAGUACACAAACCAUUAUUAUUGUUCAGUUGCACUGACCAUGUUGACUUACCUUGUAAUCAGAAAAAAUCCAAUGAAAUCUUCUUGAUCAUAUAAGCCACGCAUGUCAAACUCGCGGCCCACAAUGAAUAUUUUUGUGGCCCAGUGAGGCGCACGUUUGCCAUGCUUACUAAAGCAGAGCAUUUAAACUGGAGCAAAAUAUAUAUAUUUUUUAAUUAAUAAAUUUAAAGUCCAGCCUUAUAGCAUAUUACUGUGGACUUAUCUUUUAAAUUAAAAUGAUUUACAAGUAUGUGAUUAAAAGUGAAUGUAAUACGUUUUGUGAGAGAAGUUGAUCACAUAUCAGUAAUACUAUUUGUAAUAUACUGAACUUUGAUUAAAUUCAGUGCAUGGGCUUUAUAAAACAGUGGAUCUGUUACGUUUCAGGGUUUUUGAAUAUUCUGUAAAGACCUCCCUUCCCCCAAGGUGACCUCUCCAGGUAGGAUCAAGUGAUCCACGGGUGCAGUGACAAGUCGGUUUUACUAACCUUAAGCUGUCUUUCUCAGCCGCUGCCAUUUUCUUAAUUUAAGGCUUUUUGUCUGGAGCAGCUUCCAUACUGUACUCUUGCGAAUGCACAGGAAUACAAUACUGAGGUCUAUGGAGGGUCUAUGAGGGUUUAUUUCUGAUGACUUUGUUGGGUAAUCUAAAACAAUUGCAUAGUUUGUAUACCCCUUUGAAGCUCUGUGAGUUUAAGUAUUUCGGAUUGUAAAGUCCCAUUGAGUAAUAAACCAUUGUUCUCGUUACCCUUGUACACCUACAGCUCACAAAUUAAACUGUAGAUAAGUAUUCCUCCUGUUUACUUUUAAGGUUACAAAACACAAAGUUCCUUUGACCUGUGUUGAAACAGCCUUACGUAAUGUCCAAGCCAGUCUACCAACAUCCAUAUUGUUUUCUGGAUAUUAGAAUUUCAUACUUUUCCAAAUAGCACAACAACUUAAAGGUAGGCAGACAAUGUAAUAGAGCAGCAGGAAAUGCUAGCAGAAUGCUUAGUUGUAUAGGGAGAGGUAUUAGCAGUAGAAAGAGGGAAGUGCUCAUGCCAUUGUACAGAACACUGGUGAGACCUCACUUGGAGUUUUGUACGCAGUACUGGAGACCGUAUCUCCAGAAGGAUAUUGAUACUUUAGAGAGAGUUCAGAGAAGGGCUACUAAACUGGUUCAUAGAGAUGAGAUGGGGGGAUAUGAUAGAAAAUUUAAAUACAUUAAGGGAAUCAACACAGUAAAAGAGGAGACUAUAUUUAAAAGAAGAAAAACUACCACAACAAGAGGACAUAGUCUUAAAUGAGAGGGACAAAGGUUUAAAAAUAAUAUCAGGAAGUAUUACUUUACUGAGAGGCUAGUGGAUGCAUGGAAUAGCCUUCCAGCUGAAAUGGGAGAGGUUAACUCGGUAAAGGAGUUUAAGCAUGAGUGGGAUAUUCAUAAGGCUAUCCUAACUAUAGGAUAAGGCCAGGGACUAAUGAAAGUAUUUAGAAAAUUGGGCAGACUAGAUGGGCCGAAUGGUUCUUAUCUGCCGUCACAUUCUAUGUUUCUAUGUCUGGCAAGACCUUGGUAGCUGUAUAGUUGGUGUCUGGCAAUGAGCAAGAUCAUCAAUGAAUCCUGGGAUACUAGACAAGUUGGCGGCACGGAUCCGCCUUUUGUCAACCUCAGAUUUACCAAUGUCUUAUUUAGUUUUUGGAUUGCAUUGAACUUUGAAUAUACCAAUGUUUAUAUUUUUUUGGUCCCAAAAUGUCUGUACUUACUCUUUGGUCACUGAUUAUGAUUUCAAAUCCAGCUGUGUAUUAAUUGGAUGAAUGCAAAAAGCUUUGUUUUUGUUUUUUAGCGGUGUUCAAGCAUGGUGCGUUAAUGAAUACGGCAAAAUGAUCUUAAGAACUUGUCAUUUCAGCUUAUGAUCGUGAUAUACACCUGUAAUAUCUCUUUUUUUAAAACCUGACUUUACCUUUACCAGAGAAAUAAACUUGAACUAUUUUAUUUUUAUAUUUAAACUUGAUAGGGCAAUGGGUAGCAAAACAUCCAAAACUGACAAAGUUUAAAAAAAAAAAGUCAAAUCUAAAUAAGGGAAUAUUUAUGACCUUUUAUACAGAGCUUCCAAACAUGCUUUGCUUGUAUACAAUGCAGUGUUUGACUGUUUCUUUACUGAGCCCACAAGGGAAUUUCGUUUGAGCACAUUGUGUCUGCUUGUUUUAAGUAGUAAGACUGAAAUUUGAAAUAAGACUCACACUGCAUGAACUGGCAACAUGUUUUGGCAGGACACAUUGGAAGUCUGACUGUGUGUUACUGAUUUGUGGUGAUAUGCACUCCCACCUAUGAUAUAUGCUCCCACCUAUCUAUCCUCCCUUAUACACAAGUAUGUCUCGUCUAGGCCCUUAAGAUCUGCUGAAGACUUACGUCUAUCUUCUGUCCGUACUCCCACCUCUGAUGCUCGCCUUCAAGAUUUCUUGAGGGCUGCACCGUUCCUGUGGAACUCGCUUCCCUCCUCCGUUAGAUGCUCACCCAGUCUCCACUCCUUCAAAAAAUCGUUAAAAACCCACUUCUUCAUUAAAGCGUAUUAAUUAAACUGUUAAUAGCUCCUGACUGAUUCCUCUUCUGCAACUGUCACUAGUCUAAUACUAUCCUUACCUCUUUGUGUCAUUUCACCCCACUCCCUCUAGCAUGUAAGCUCAUUGAGCAGGGCCCUCAACCCCUCUGUUCCUGUGUGUCCAACUUGUCUGGUUACAACUACAUGUCUGUUCGUCUACCCAUUGUAAAGCGCUGCGGAAUUUGACGGCGCUCUAUAAAUAUUAGAAUAAUAAUAUACACAUUAAGAGAUUGGCUAUGAUUCCUAAAGAAAGUCAAUGCUGGGUGGCAGGUGAACAAAUGCUUGUGCAGAAAAGAACGUUUUAGGAGAUAUGUUAUUGUAUCCAUUAGUUACAAAGGCUGAAAAGAGACGUGUCCAUCGAGUUCCAUCUUCAUCACAUUUGUUUUCAGCUGUUACAGAGUGACACCCAUGAAGUUUAGCAAUUUGCAGCGCUGGAACAGAGGUAAGGUGAGUAAAUCACAAUAUUUAACUAAAAAAAAAUAUGAAAUAUGAUGUAUUUAUUGUAUUUGGGAGAUUUAGCUAAAGUUUGAAAGCACAUAACACGUUCACUUGAAACUUUUCCCAAACAAUUUGGCAAAAAAACAGGAGACCAUGCUGAUAAGCUCUUGACACCAUAACAACUGCAAAGAGCGGUAGUGCCUUUGAUGUUUAUAAACUGCCUCUUUAACGUAUCUUGUAUUUUCCAUCUUAUUAACCCAUAGGAGAAACAAUUGCAAAUCUCUAGGAAAACCUCCAUAAUUGUAGUGUGCUAGACAGCUUGAUGGAAUUACAUUUUAUUUUUCUUCAAAAUUAUAAAUAAAUCGUUCUCAUUAAAUGGUUGUGUUUUCUGAAAGUAAAUUAACUAAUUUAGCUUUGUUUCUUUUAUGUCUGAUUCUUAAAUGUGCCGCUAGGUUAAUUUCCUUGCUUCUUUGUUACUCUAUUUCUUCUGUGAAUUCUAACGACUAUUUUGAUUUACAAAAAAAUAGCUCCAAGAAGUACAAAAUAAAAUUAUAGUUGUUUAUGUUUUAAUUAAAAAUUGGUAAUGUGCAGGUAAUUUUGGGGGGAAAAAAACAAUCAUAUAAGUGACUUUAAAAGAAAAUAUUGCAUUGAUUAAAGGGAUACUCCAUUGUCCAAAUACAAAAUCUAUAAAAAUCCCUGUUUAGUAUAUAAACCCUAAAUGAAAACGUGCAUAUAUAUUAUGCUUUUUUCAUUGCGGUUAUAUCUAAAAACCAGCUUGCAAAUCUCUUGUCUGCUGUUUUUUUUCUAAAUUUAUUCAACUGUUCAGUAAAUGAAAACUCGUUAUUUUUUCAUUUUUAUAGUUAUACUUGACAGUUGAGUCUGGGAAGUAAUAAAAGUAACCUUUAGACAAUGAUAAUGAACAGGGAAAAGGUUGGCAAUUCCAUAAGGUAUUUGGUGUGAGAGAUACACAUAACAGUAAGUAAACAGUAGUAGUUCUGGUUAACAGAGGUUGAUCAGUGCCAGGGCCGCCAUCAGGGGGUGACAACCAUGAUGGUUGUCACGGGUCCGGCGGUCCUGGGGGGCCCAGACCCGGGCCCAACUUUCCCUUUCUGCACACAUAGAUAGCGAAUAUCUCUAUGUGUGCAGCCGCGGGCCCCCGGCUCCCUGUUAUCGCAGAGGGGGCCCAGCACACUGCCUCUACUCUUCUCUUCUCCUCUCUUCUAAUAACUCUUGCGAGACUUGUGGCCUUCUGAGCGUUGCCAUGGCGUUGCCUGCUAAUGGGCCUGCAAUCCUGCUAGGCCUCAGGGCCAUAUAAUAUGAUAAGCUUGCAAAUGUUAUUAUUUUGGGACCCUUUGUUCAAUACAUGUUUGAUACAUUUGUACGCCAUAUAAUAGAUUUAGCUGAAGCUCAGCAAAGGUGCAUUCGUGAGAACAGUAUAUUGUUUUAAGGGCUACAAUAAUUAUUUAAAGGAGCACUAUAGGGUCAGGUACACAAACUUGUAUUCCUGACCCUAUAGGGUUAAAACCACCAUCUAGCCCCAGUUUCCUUCAUGCUUCCCUAAAAGUAGUAAAAUCUUACUUGUAUUCAAGCCUGAAGCUGCCUGAAGGGGCUUUGUCCCUGUUUCCUUUUGGCCUGCCCAGUGCCUGCUGACAUCAUCAGAAGUGGUGGCCUGAUCCAAUCACAGUACUUCACCAUAGGAUUGGCUGAGAAUGACAAGGAGGCAGAUCAGGGGCAGAGCCAGCAUGAUUCAAACACAGCCCUGGCCAAUCAGCAUCUCUUCAUAGAGAUGCAUUGAAUAAUACUGAAGGAGAUACUGAAUGUUUGGAUGCAUUUUAGGCAGUCAUGACCCAGGAAGGAUCUUAAACAGCCAUCUGAGGAGUGGCCAGUGAAGUUAUCACUAGGCUGUAAUGUAAACACUGCAUUUUCUCUGAAAAUACAGUGUUUACAGCAAAAAGCCUGAAGGUAAUGAUUCUACUCACCAGAACAAAUUCAAUAAGCUGUAGUUGUUCUGGUGACUAUAGUGCCCCUUUAAAUGGUGACUAACUGCACCUUUAAAGAGAAUAAUUUCAAUAUGCAGUUAGUUUCAGACUAGUACUAUAUUGUUCUACACACAGUAUAAACUUAAACAAUAAAGAGAAGAUACUUUAUAUCACCCAGGUAAACCCUUAAGAAAAAGGUUUUCCCUUUCCAAAAGUGUAAGCCAUUUGUUGGGUAUAACCACUAUAAAAAGUGACGUAAAAGACAUAAAGUGCCCUUAAGAGGAGACGCAGCCUCUCAAUAUAUACCAUUAAGAGAGAUCAGGGUUUAUACCCUGUAAUUGGAUUGGUAUUGGCACAGUUGUACCAUAGGGCAAAGUUCCCAGACUUCUCCUUUACCCCAUAUUUCAACAUAUUUUUAAUGUUCUUUUCAAUAGUUCAAUGAAAGUACCUAUUGGAUUUAAUUGAGAGUCUGACCUUUCUUUUUCUAAAUGCCUGAUUUAUGCAUUGGCCUAUCUCCUUAGUAAGUCAAUCUUUAACCAAAGAUCCCACACGGUUGUGUUUUUGCCCACCCUUCUCCCCCCUUAAAUCUGUUUAUUGUCUCUUCUGUACUUUAACAUAACUUUUUUCUGUAAUAUCACCUUAUUCCAGACUGCCUAGUGAAACGAUUACAUUGCAGACUUUAAUAUGACCUUAUGAAAAAAACACUGCACUCAGAAUAUUGCUAAGUCAACCACGCUUUCUUUUGAAAUAUUGCUAAGGAUAAUGCUAAUAUCAAAAUCCAAGACCUCUUCUAUUCUGUGCAGCUUAUAUGUGCAUAGUAAUAAUGUUGUGUAUAACAAAUCUGUCUCCUGAUUUGUUAUUCUAUUAUGAGUAAUACUUGGCAAGGACAAUAAUAAGAAACAAAAUAGGCAACAAAUCUUUUUUUAAGAAGGAUUAAAAAAAAUAAAAAAAAGUACUUCAAUUAAUCUUUUUUAUUUUGUAUUCUACUUUUUUUCUAUGUGUGUCUGAAGGGAGCUGUGUGUGUAGUGUUUGUGUUUGUGAGGGGGCAGUGUGGGUAAGAGGUCCAGUGUGGGGGGGUACUGUGCAUGUGUGAGGGAUGCUAUGUGUGAAGGGGGCAGCGCAUGUGAGGGGUGGAGUGUGUGUGAGGGGUGGAGUAAGUAUUUGUGUGUGAAGGGUGGAUACAGUCUAUGCUGUGUGUAUGUGGGUGAGAUGUGAAAAUCUAUAUUAAUGUCUCCCCUCGCUUCUUUUUACCUUUUACCAGGGAGGGGGGACUUAAUGCUGAAAGCCCUGGUGGUCCAGUGGUGGCAUAUUCGCUUCAGCCUGCAGCUCCUCCGGCUGCAGCCUGACUCUCCUGUUGUCCUGCGAGCACAGCACUGUAUCGGAGCAUUGCCAUGGUAAUGUGCGGCAAUGCUCUGACCAGCCUGCUUGCUGGAGGAACACAGGGCCUUCCCUCCCUCCGCUCGAUGAACUAAGUGCCAGAGGGUUGGUGAGGGAGAUCUUUGAUCUCCUAAACAGCACGAGAGGGCUUACAGCAAGAUGAAAGGAUCUCCCAUGCCGGCCUUUGCCCACGGCCAUCGAGGCCCACCCGGGCGUUUUCUGCAGAACCCACCACCGCCCACCUGAGAUCCCAAACCACACAAGGUUGACUACCCUGGAUAUAGAUGAUCAAUGCCUUCCUGAGCAGUGUUUUAUCAAUUGCUCCUUCACAUUCUCUAUAGAUCUCAAUACUCUUCUCAAACAUGUUCUGGAGCCUCCAGUGAUUUAGUUAUUCUUUGCUUAUCAGCUGUCUCAGUUUGCCUGAAUAAUUUUGCAUGUUUCUAUUUUAUUUUUUUGCUGACAGUUUUAGCCGGGGGUUGUUUGGGGGUUUCCUUUAAGUAGUUGAAGGAAACUCCCAAACAACCCCUCGCUAGAUUUUCACAUCUCACCCACAUACACACAGCAUAGACUGUAUCCACCCUUCACACACAAAAACAUUUCCUUUAAGUAGUUGACAAAUUACUUGCCCCCUCAACCCCCCGCCCCCCCCUUUUUUUUUUAAUACAGAUCUUCAACAUUUGGUUUGUAUUCUUCCAUCUCAGCUUCCAUUCUCUUCAUUUUUUGGCACUGUUUAUAGCCAUCUAAAUAAGCCUUUUUUUUUUUAUUUUUUUAAGUACUUGGGAUUUUUUUCAGAGGACUUUAACACAGUUUAGCAAGAUGCUCAUGAAUCUACAAUAAUUAUCCAUGUAGGUGACAAGUGCUGACUCAAAUAAAAUGUGGAAGUCUGCAUGUCUUCCAGGCAAUGUUUAUUAAGUUUAAGUCUGUGCCGUUUGGUGUGUAGUUUAUCUAAAAUAGCUCCAGGCUUGGAGAAACCACUCCAUUCUGAUAUCUAUUCUGAUUCCAAUUUAUUAAUGAUGAUGGAGUGUAGACAGACAGUGCAGAAGAAAAAGAAGCCCAAGUACAUGAACCACGUUCCAGCAUUUACAGCACCAUUAUGAUGUGAACAUAAGUGAGCAAGGAGAAUUUGAAGAGAAGCUUUAGAUUACUUUUUCUGAAAAUUUUGGAAUGUGAAAUGAUAGCGGAGAUAUGGAGAACAUAUCAUGCAAUUGGAGAGGCAAGCUACAAAGCAAACUGAAAACAAGCCGGGCAAGAGGAGGGGGUUGGCUGGGUGGGUUAGUGAAAAUAAAUAUAUAUUAUUUUUUUUUUACUGGGAGAUGGACUGUUGUCAGAUUGACCUCUAACUAGGGUGAAUGGAAGGAUGGAUAAAACGUGAGUGGAGUUCAGUAUAAAUGGGCUAUUUGUAUGUUGUUGAGUAAUGAUGAAUGUAUUGAUCACUAUCACUAUGGCCAAAAAAAAUGCAUAUAUAGGUAAAUAGUGCUAGUCCAUCAAAUGCAACAAGCAGCAAAAUGACUGUGCAGCUUACACAAACCCAGAAAUCAUACCGCAAUCAGUGCACUGAGAAUUAUGGAAAUUAUAACCAUGUAUGGAAAUGAUUAGGGAAAGCACACAUGAAUAAAUGUUAUUGCAAGGGUAAAAGGCAUAAGACUUUUGCAUGCGUUUACUUCAUUAAACUAUUGUCAUUUCAGGGUCAUAUAAUAAAGAUUUUUUUUCUUUCUUCUUCAAAUUAAUGCAAUGUUGCAGAUGUUAAAAAGGAAAAAUGCUCCCUGCCUUAUCUCUUUGUUUGGUACAAAUUGAUGUAAUUUUAUUCAACAUUUUAUAUUUGUAACAGAAAGGGAUUAAUGAAUGCCCAGCUAAGAAUCCAGCUCUAUUCUCACUAUGUGGUUCAUCCCCUUCAGUUUGCCACCUGGAACUUCCAUGGGGAUAUCACACAGCAAGUGCUGCUCAACCAGCAGGCUGAUUUCCAACUGAUCAUCUCUCUGAAGGCAUUAGGACCUUUGCCACUGUCAAACAUUUUCAGGGGAGAUUAAGCACACUCACUGAAGUAAUCUCUGGUCUUUUGUAGCAAAAAAAAAAGCAUUAGAGUGUGGUUAAAAAAUGUAUUAACCCCCAUGCAAAUGUACAUUUUGGAAACUAGACUGUUGGAGAACCAAGGAACAUAUUUUUAAAAUACUCAUAAAGAAGCAUUGAGAGGCAAUGCGCAUGUGUGUCAAUUAUCAUGCUUCACUUGCAAUGCUUCUUUUUGAGAAGCAUGGCCAUCCACUUUGUACUGAAGCACAAAGCAAUCCGGAAGAGCACCAUCCCAGCUGUCUGACAAGAUCGCAACUUAGAAACUUUAUAAAAGCGCCAAUUUCUCUUAACUCUUUUAACACUGAUGGGUUUGAAGUUGUAUAUGAAUUUUAAUGCAAUGGAGCAAAUCAAUAUAUAGUUUUUGGGCAUGCUAUCAGAUAUUUUAUAUAUAUAAAAAAUGGUGUUCAUGAAGCAGAGCUAUUUUAAUUUUGUAUCGGCUGCUGUAAUGCAUUCAGAUUUGCUUAACAUCCUAGAUGCUUGACAAGGGGAAGAUUUUUUUAAAUUUAUUUAUUUAUUUAUUUUUUUUGAGGAUGUCACAAGUAACCCUUGUUGAUCUUUGCCAUAGGUCCUGCAUUGUGAUUGUGGUUCCCAAAUGUAGAGCAAGGGUUGAAUUGCAGCUGGUCACAAAAGUGCUUUUAAAAAUCAGAAACCUGAUUUUUAGUGCUUGGGCUCCCUGGUUUGUAUUAGACAAAAUUCUGCUAGGUCUUAAAAAACUAAAGCAAAUAGCUUACGGGAUGCCAAAACAGAUUCUGAACAAAUGCUGGUGUAAGUCCUCUUGAUGUGGAAUUUCAGUUGUUGAAAAUAUGUUCACUUUUGCCGAUGUUUUCAUUUUAACAUAUGGUCCCUAGCUGUGAAAAAUGUUCAUCAAAGACAAAUAGAAAAACAGUUCAGUUCUGCAAAGUAUAAAUGGGUUUAUGGCAUAAAAAGAGAAUGUUAAAAAUUGCUUUUGUUUCUUUUACUAUCACGUAUACAGGCAGCGCAUACAGAAUAUAAAUGCUUAUGCUUUUCAAACUACUGUCAUUUGUAACAAAUGUUGGAAGCCUAUUUUUGUGCAUUAUUUAUGUUUUAUUUCUAUCUGUACUGGCCUAAUAGAAGACUGAAUAUAUGCCAUAGUACAUCAAAGUUUAGAGUUAAAAUAAACUGAUUGUGUGUCGGUUUAGAUGAUGAGGCCCCCUCCAAUCACAUGGGAAAUGUAUUUUUAUUCCCCCCUUUACCCACACCGUGCUGGUGACGCAGCGACUAGCCCCACCUCCUUGGCUGAGGUCCUCAAUCUUGAUGAUCUCAGCCAAUCCAAUACUUCCCCAUAGGAAAGCAUUGGCAGACUAUUGCGCAUGUGCGGCAAAAUGCCACUGUGCCAAUCAACUUCUCCUCAAAGUGCACAUUGAAUCAAUGCAUCACCAUAGGGAACAUUAGCAUAGUUGCUGCACAGUGUGAACCACUGACCUAGGAAGCAUCUCAACUGGCCAAUGAGUGACUGUCAUUAGAGGUGUCACCAGGCAGCAAUGUAAGCACUGCCCUUUGUCUGAAGACUCAGUGUUUAUAUUGAAAAGCAUCCAGAGGCAGGAAAUAGACUUCAGAACAACUAAAUUAAGCUGUAGUGGUUCUUGUGACUAUAGUGUCCCUGUAAGAAUUGUAUUUUUUUGCAUUGAAAAACAGAACUCCUAACUUUUUUUUAGCUGGCUCCUAGAUCCCAAGCAAAUUUGUCAAGCCUUGCCCUAAGGUAUGACUGGACGAACUGUAGAUCCCCAAGUAUUGUAGAACUGCAACUUCCAUACUUUGCCAUUCUGAAAGCUUGUAAAGCAUCAUGGCAGUUCAAGUUCUACAACAUCUGGGGAUAUACUGUUUUCCCAGCCCUGCUAUAAAGUAUUGUAGGGUAAGUAAAGUUAUCAUCUAAAUAUUUUAUAUUGAAUGCAUCAUUUAGCUCUAUGAUAAAUUAUGUAUUCUUUGACUGUAGGGCACUUUCCAUUAAAGUAAACCUGUCAUGAAGGGUUCACUUUAAAGGAACACACUAAACAUUAUAACCACUAUAGCUUUUGUUGUAGUUAUGGUACAAGGAGUCUUCGGAUGCAAUUCAUUUGCAAAUUUUCGAGUAGUUUCUGGGCUCUCUUGGCACCCAAAGGUUGGCCUGACCCAUUGUAUGCUGCUCAGAUGGACGUUUUUCUGCUUGAUCCAUCCAAACUUUGAUGGCCGGGAUAGGUUGUAAGGACUAGGAAAGUUAGGUAAUGUUGAACUCCAUAUUCUUGUGUCUGUUUGAGGAAGAUUUGAUCAUUCCAUUCUUCCAGUUUCAUUAAAAGAAUACUACCGUUAUUUUUGUUCUUUCAUUUAAGUUUAAGGCAGCUCUCCAAUGUAUGUAAAUAUAAAUUCUUUAUGAAAUACUCAUAGACUACACAAUCAAAAUAUGUAAUAAGACAAGCUUGAUGUUGACCAAGACAUAACUUUAUCAAUUUCCAUAGCUGUCACUAUCGUGGGCUAUGGAAAACAGGCAUGUUCUCAUGUGUUGUGGCAUUAGGUCUACAGAGGGUCCUUAUCGGACCUUUCAUAGACCUCUGUGCUGUAGUUAGAUAAUUACAUACAACAUACAAUUCUUAGAUUCAUUGAGAGGUCUUUUUGGUCCAUUGUUUAUCAUGGAAACAUCACAUAAUAAACAUACAGAUUGACUUUGCUAUUCUUCCAGAAUGUAUUGCAUGCUAUGCAAUGUGUGCAAAAAAAUCCACCACCACUAGUAUGCUCUUCUGAAGAGCCGUAUAAUAUAAUAGUUUAACAGUACAGUGCAUACUGUUUAUGAGGGAACAUAUAAGACACAUUCAUUUUAAUAUUUCAUAUGUCCAAAUAAUGAACAUUUCUCUUCUAUUUAUAAGAUUCUGUAUGCACAUAAAAUAUAUAAAGGAUGUUUUGGGUUUUUUUUCACCCUGGAAUCUUUUUUUAUUUUUGAAGGUGCUUUCUAAGCUCCAUAACCACUAACAGUAUGCAUAUGAAAGCAAGGUAUUAAUAAAAGCAAUGAAAGCAAUGUAUGAAAGCAAUGUAUUAAUAAUCACUUUGAAGGACCACUAUUGUGCCAGGAAAACAAACUAAUUUUCCUGGCUCUAUAGGGUCUUUGGGUCCCCCAUGCCCUCAGGGUCCCCCUCCUGCCGGGAUGAAGGGGGAGGAAGGGGUUAAACUCUUACCUUUCUCCAGGGACUCUCCUACCUCUUCCGACAUCAUCCACCGAAAGCGCAUGUGCGGCAGGACCCCCCCCCGCGCGCAUUCAAUCAGUACAUAGGAAAGCAUUUCUCAAUGCUUUCGUAUGGACACUGGCGUCUUCUCACUGUGAAAAUCAUAGUGAGAAGUGCGGAAGUGCCUCUAGCGGCUGUUAAUGAGACAGCCGCUAGAGGCUGGAUUAAGAGAAACUGCUAUGUUUUUAGCUGCAGGGUUAACCCUAGAUGGACCUGGCACCCAGACCACUUCAUUGAGCUGAAGUGGUCUGGGUGCCUGUAGUGGUCCUUUAAGCUACCUUAAAAGACAAAAUGGAUAAGCAGCGCAGAGCCAGAUUAAGAUUGACUAGGGCUCUAGGCAGCAUGCCAGUUUAUGGCCAUCUCCUAAAGCCCUGGGCUCUGUUUCUGUGAGUUUUGUGUGUGGUGGCAGAGUAUUGUUUGUGUGGACUAGGCUGAGUGUGUUGGGAAAAUUUUUAACUUGUCCCCUCCUUCCAAAAGGUAAGCAGUAGUAUAACCCCUGAAGGUUUGUGAGUUGAGGAGCUGCAUCCCGUUCCAGUGGGGGGAGCAUUGUGGUCUGCACCUCCAGCAGGUGCAGAUUACUUGAAGAGCUUUUGCAGGGUCCCAGCACUCAGUCAAUGAGUUAUUGAGAAGUGCCAUAGGAACCGCAAGGGAGCUCUUAAAGUGAUCUACACUCAAUAGAGUUGCAGAUCAAGAAACUCACUUGAGGUAGGGAAUAGGCAAAGGUUCAAGAAGAGAGAACACCUCCCCCCCCUCACAGACAGAGCCAGAGCUCCAGUCCCCACUGUGACCCUGCCUGGGCCCUAGGUACCAUCUAUGCUGCCUUACUGGUAAUCCUGUUCUGAAGCAGUUGUUUGAACUUUCCUGAACUUGCACUGCUUAAAUCUCUAUGGUGAAUCAGUAGUCCCCCAGGUGCUAUAGAACUAUAACACACAUAUUUCUUUGCUACUCUGGCAAAGUCUCAUGACACAGGAAACUCCUGCUAAAAUUUGUUGCGGUUUCAUUUAAAAAACAAACAAAAAACGUUUAUUUACUUUUCGUUAUCCUUGUAUUUAUCAUGGUUAUUUUGCAAGAACCAUAACAAUGUAUAUUUGUACAUAUUGUGUAAGGUGGUCCCCUGUCACCUUUAGCCUCCAUUAGGAUUGCCAGUAACUGCUCCAAUUUGCAAUUAUUAUUUCAGCUGUAAGGUCCUUCUUUAUGACAUCAUAGUCUUUUUACAUCAGCUCCAGGUUUUGAUCAUAAAAAAAAAAAGACUGAGAUUUCAGUUAUAUGGUAAGGUAACAAGCUUCAUCUGACCUCUGUCUUCAUGUAUAGUGGCUUCAUUCAUGUAUUUUCUUAAUUGAAACUACUGCAAGUAAUUUCUGAGUGUUGACGUACAUAUUGCACAAGCCCUUUCUGUGCAGAGGAUUAUAGAGGACAUGUUUAGUGCUCCCAUUGAAAACCAUGGAAGAGCUAGAAUUGAAGAUUCAAUCACUUCCCAGUAAAUGGGGUCUCACUGGAAUAUUCCUUUAGUACAUUAUAUAAAGGGUAUAUAAUAGAAUUAAAAGGGAGCUCAACUUCAGGCCCUUUAAUGUUGAGCUACCGCUGCCUUUUUAGUCUUAUCUCGCAAUUUUGGGGUUCAUGUUUUGUUUUUUUUACUCCUUUUCACAUUAUCUUUAUAUCUUUAGUUCCAGUUUGAAGAAACUUAUUGUAUUUCUUCCCUGUAUGAAAUUGGCUGUGUUGAAAGCAUUGCCAAGAUCCAAUACUCACAAGUGACAUCUGGCCAAUGUGCUUUGUGCUCACUCCAGUACAUCCAGCCGUUUUUACUGUAGCAUGUCUUCUUUAUAGAUCCCGUAAACCACCUCCAAAUAUGUUUUAUGAUUCAUGCUAUAAAAGAUAAAAUUGUGCUGUAUUAAAGGGCACACCGGCAGGACAUCGGACACCAUUACUCUUGUCAGCAUGAACAAAUUGCUCAACUCAACUGGAAAAUUUUGGAGCAAGAAAAAUGCAUAACCAGCAAAAGAAAAAGUAGGGUUGCUAAACAAUGCCAGAAAAUUGCCUUUGUCACAGAUUGUGAUGAACUAACUGGAUUGUUUUAGUGUAGGUUUAAUGUCAAGAAAUGGGAAUUCCAAGUCCUGUACCUGCAGACUCUGGUCCAAAGAGAGAGAACAGGUUCAUUCUACUUUAGAAAGUGCUGAUUUCUAAGAUCAUCUAAUAUAAACUCUAAGCACUUCUGGAAAUGUGUGAUUUAAAAAGUGCAGAACGAAUGUGUAUUUUGAAAGUAAACAUACAUUAUGACGUUGGAUAAAAACCAAAACCUCUUUAGUACUACACGUUUUCCAGCUCAGCUAAAACCAUAUAUUUGUUUUUGACACAAACACACACACUCACACACACUCUCUAUAAUUUUAGUCUUAUUUUGUAUUUUUAGCUUUAUCUGCUAUGUUAAGAGAACUAUAACAUACUUGAAAACAUAAUUUAUUUUGUUAGAUGAAAAGUGUAAAAGAAAUGUUGCUCACAAACAAUCUGGAAAUAGUGAAUACAUAUACAAAAAGAUAAGUCCUGCGCUCACUCCCAUCACUCCUGGGCGGCAGCAAUGACCACAGUACACAUCAGCCCCAAUAUAUAGUUAAAAACCAAAGGAAAAAAGUUAUCUGCGCUCUCUCCUUAAUCCCGAUGUAUAUUUAGACAAAUGGACGUCAUUUAGUAACUCCAAUGGCCAUUGGAGGGAAUGCCCGCCUGCCAACGUCAAGGCAGACCCCCCUAAGCGGGUCCUACACUGACCCUUCACCUUGCUUCCUUGAGCUUCUGGCAAAGAUAUCUCUAAUGAGACAGAGAGGGGUAUUUUAAAAAAAAAUAAUCUUUGGACCUCAAUUUGUCUAAAUAUACAUAGGGAUUAAGGAGAGAGCGCAGGUAACUUUUUUCCUUUGGUUUUUAAUCUGGAAAUAGUGUUUUUGGUGUUUUUAUGAUGCCUUGUGAAAUCACAUCCAGCUUUGUGAUGUCACAUCAGCAGUGCCAGGAAUGUAUACAUUACAAUACAGUGCUGGUUGCACUGGUUUUCCUGAUAACUGUCCCAGUUAGUACUUUAGACUACUUUUUAGAACAAAGUGGCAUCAGCCACUCACAAGGUUCAAAUUAGGCAGAUUUAUUGUAGCGAAAAAAGUACUUUAGAACAGCAUUUCGAAAUUCACCAAGAUCUUUGUCAAGCUUGACAAAUCUAAUAAUGAUAGAUGUGUUUUCGUGCUAGGUGUCAUGAAAAGUAUCAGUUUUUCAGAAUUCAAAGUGAUUCCGAUUUUAGGCUAAAAUAACUGUAAUAAAAUAUAACAGUCUUGUAUUUUUAUUCAGUUCAGCUAUUCUGGCCUAGAGCUGGAAAUUAAUUAUGAAUUUCAAACCACUCAAGCUUAGUAAAUAAACCUGACAGGGAAUACUAUGAUGUCCUAUGCAUAUGUGUAUAGAACCGAAGCAUAUAGGUAUAAACUACUGCAAUAGAAACCCGUAAAUUGAAUCACCUUAGAACUAUUCCAGAAUGUAUUGGGUUUAAGUGCACACUUCAUGAUGUGCCUACAGCCUCUUACUUGCUAGGCGGGGAGGAACACUUGCUGUAGUGUAAUUGUCAUAAUCUAAUCCAGGUUUGUUUUAAAAAUGGCUGUUCAUCUUUAUAUUUUAUUACAGAAUGUAUAGACUUUUAUUUAUUUAUUUUAUUAUUUUUUUUAAACCUAUAUCAGACCUUGUCACUAUUUGAGUCCCAUCGUUCCGGACAUGUAAAUGCAUUUAUGGAAAUGAGUGUUAUUUAUUAAAAUUUUUAAAUCACCGUGGCAGAAAAUGAAAUUUUAGCAGCUAUAAUUAAUAGAAAAAAACGACGUGGCAUGAUAAAUAGGUCCAGUAAAUGCAAAGAGAACAAAAUUAAAUAUGCUCACUGGUGUAUGUUACAUGCACCACUGAAGUGUGUUGCUUAUGUGAAAUUCAAUGCAUUUUUAAUGUAUAACAUUACGUUAUAGGCAGGAAUUAUUAAAUGGCAACAUGGGCCUUGGAAAGCAAUCCCAUGUAAUAUGCUAAAAGGUAUGUGUAAUGCGUUUAAUGUAUACUUAUUUUCUCUGUGUUUUUCUUCCCUCAGCAUCAAAAUGGUAUUGAUGUGGACAAGUGGAGAUACGUUCAAGACUGCAUAUUUUGUACUGAAUCAAGCCCCUUUCCAGUUCACAAUCUGUGGACUACUUCAGGUGUUUGUGGACAUCACCAUCCUGCUGCAGGUGUACCUGUACAGCCGCUACCCUCAGAAGCCAGUUACUCACCCCAUACAUGCUAGCAGUGCCAAAGUUCUGUGACGAGAAAAAAAAAAGUACUGUUUUACUGUGUGCUUCCUGGUCAUUGAACUGCACCUUCUACAGCUUCCAUGGUAUACAUACCACCAGGGACAUGUGAAGUCCACCAAUAUAUUCUGUUUUUUUUUUGUUUUUUUAAUGUUUGUUUUCCCCAGAGAAUUGAGGUAAUGAUGCUACAGUCACUCUUUACAGGUUUGUGCAUGUAUUUCUAUAAGUAAACGUGUAAAUCAUUGUACGGCAUGUAUUUGCAAUGAGUAUGUGUGUUGGUGUAUACACACACACCAACAGACAUACAGAGUUUUAUAGAGAAUUUAGUAUCCUGGAUUAUUUAUUUUUUCUUUCUAAUAUAUCCUGUUUGAUAUGCUGACCACCAACAAACUACCAAUGACUACCCAUUGCAUGCAAUGAUACAACAAUAUACAAUAUCACAGCAUGUUAAGCAAACUGAGGACAGUUUCAUUUGGACACAAUCUACUUAUCACUAAAAUGUUCUGUUUAAAAAAAAAAAAAAAAAUGUUGCCAAUCCAAUUUGUAUGUAUAUGGAUACAUCCAGAAUAUCUCCACACAAACUCAUAUGCAUAUACACACACACACACACACACACACACACACACACACGUAACCUGUAGCAGAAUUCUCAUGAAAAGUUUGGUACCUUGUAAUAGAUAAUCACCUCUAGCUGCUUUGUAUAUAAAGAUUAUUCAGUGCCAGAACAACACAAAGCAGUGAGUUCCAUCCCAGUCCUCUAGAAACACCACCAGUCCAAGAUCUUGGUAUUUCACCGUUAUGGACUUUUGGGGAUGCUGCCAAUACUUGCGCCAUUGGUUUGCCUGAGGACGGAAUUGAAGAAAAACUGCUAUAGCGGAAUGUCUUGUGUAUCCAUAUCUUUGGUUCAGAACACCAUUUCUCACUAGCUUGAAAUUAAAUACACGUAUCUCUUUCCAUUAUAGAUUAGCGCACAUUUUCAUUGACACACAUCUGCACGGCAAUGGUGAUUACCUCUUCUGUGUCACUGCAUUAGCUGCACUUUAUCAGUAUUACUUAUAAUGAGCAAAGCUUUGCAGUUUAGUUCUUAAUUAUUAGUCUGUUUUCGACACCUAGGACCUUCGACUUUUAGUUUCAUUUUUAUACCUCAUCGAUAAAGAUGGAGGAGUGUUUCCUGGUAGAAAUUAUUAUAGAGGCCUUUCAUUGAUUUUGUGCUCUUUUUCAUGAAUAUGAAGUAUUUAUGUCCUAUUACAUUGUUAUUAGUGUUUUGAAUUCUUCAGCAAAGUCUGUGAAAGGAAAUUAGCAAAAUGAGCCUGUGUGGUACUUUAAUGGUUUAUUCCAGGGUUAGUAUAUUGUAACAUUCCAGCUGAUAUUAGACUAUACUGCCAGGUGAUUUCAAUUAAGCUUUUAGUCUAUACAUCAGUUGCUUAUAUUCUAAACCACAGCACUGUAUUAUAAAUACAUUGACAUCAUUUUACAUUUAAAUCAACAAGUAUGCAAUUAAAUAUAUAGCUUGUACAUGUUUAUACAUGACUGUGUGCAGUAUUCUUUAAUACCAGGUAAAGGCACCUAGAUUAUACUCUUAUUAAAAAAUACAUUAAAAAAUAAAAAUAAAGUUUUAGCUAAUGACAAGGCACAACACCACUGUCCCUACAAAUAAAUAAUAAAUAGCUUUAAUUUGGUACUGUUGGCAGCUGCAGUGGUAAGCUUACAUGAAUAUACCACUGAAUAUUAGCUAUAUAACAGCAGGUGUAUCUGAGCUGUUACUAGCUCUGUAGUUUGUCCCCGAUUUUCCACAGUGAAAAGAGUCAGACAAUCUGCCAAAACAAUGGCAAUUUAUGAAGUAAAAUAUCAGCCCACUGAUUUAUAACUCAGUCAAUUUAAUAUUGGAACUCUGCGCUUAAUUGGGGUAAUUGUAAUUUUUUUUAAUAUAUAAAUAUAUAUUUGUUUACAAAAUUAGCUUAGAGAGUGCUCUUUGCUUCUGUGUUCACAUGUUUCACUGUAUUGGUGUUUCUUUGCUCCUGUUGUCUAUAAUCCGACUCAGGAAAUGUGAGCACUCUUAAUUUGCAAAUACGAAUCAGCUACACUGCAAUGACUUUGAUAAUUACAUUUAUAUACUAGAUCAGAUUUGUUUACAUUUUACCUCUGGCACCAUUAAUGAAUUUCUGAGCAGAUAUGAAAGUAAUUCCAGUGUGUCUUUGUUUUAGUUUUCUUUUUCUUUUUUUCUUUUGUUACUGUUGGUGAUUGUGUUUUGAGAUAGAUAUAUAGAUAUAUAUAUAUAUAUAUAUAUAUAUAUAUAAAAAAUUAUUUUUUUGUUUUUGUGUGUUUGUGCAUAGAUUAGAUUGGUAGUAAGGCAAAAUAUAAUUUCUUAGUUUUGAUUUACCCAGAAUUGCAUGUGUUCCUUGUGAUCUAUUCUAUAUGUUCUCAGAGUGAAAGCCUAAGUUAGGUAUUUGUUAACAAAGCUCAUUUGAUAAGUAUGUGGCAAUGGACUGUUUUUAAAUAAAGGCCAGUGCUUGUUUGGGUAUGUAAUUAUUAGCUACGGCAUUGUAACUUAUCUUUUCGUAGAAUAUUAUUGUACUGAAUUUGCCUCAGCCAUGUUAUCAUAGACAACUUUUCUUCAAGGACAGAGUAUUGCAAAGGAGCAAUAGUAUUCUAAUGCUUCAAUUUUCACAACUACUCCUAAGCUCUUAAAAUUACUUCACCAAUAUAUACAUUCCUUCUUUAUUUAAUGAUUAAUAAUUGAUAUAUUGAAGUGUUUGUCCUUUGAUGGCCACUCUUGUGUGCCACAGCCAUUUUAAGACAUCCAUAUUGUAGGCCUAAACCAUCAAAAUCUAAUCAUCUUUUUUAGAACUCAAAGCCAUGUAUAAAGGGGAUGUUUAUUUUGACAGUCUUUGAUUGCAUAAUAUAUCUGUGUUUUUAACCCUUUAAAGCAGUCCAUGGGCAACCUGAAACAUUACCACCAAAGGUAUUUAGCAAACAUUUAUAUUGUACAUGUAGAAAACUUUUCCAAUUUGCAUUAGAACAUUCCAAACACCUAGAGAACUUUAGCUUGCAUGCUUUACGUGGUGUCCUUUUUUUCAUAUUACAAAAAGUGUAUAUUGUAUUAGACAACUGGUCCUGUUACUUCCUGGUUUGGUUAGCUCAGUGGAGAUAAACACAAGCACCGUGCAAAUAUUUCCCAUUGAGCUACAUUGAGAAGUCUGUGAUUGGACAACCACAGAAAGUCAGGGCUUAGUUAGAAGGGAGGGCUUGCAAAGGCUGCAGAUGAGAUCUGCAGCUUUUACAAUUAGUUUGUAAACACUCUUUAAGUUUGCAGAUAAAGUAAGCAUUGCACACUUGCAAGCUGUUUUAGAUGGAUCCUCAUUGGAAAAAUUCAUGCCUGUUUUCAUUGGAGUAUAUCUACUAAAUAGUGUUUGUUUGGGGGCAGUAAAGUGUCCCUUUACUGUAUUAAUACAAUUUCUUUAUCUGAGCAAACUUUGACUAGGUAAAGUAAUCAUAGUAAUGUAUCAUACAUUCAUAUUGCAUAUGACAUUUAAUUCCAUUCCAACUUUUCUGUAUUAUUAGACAUAAACUUGUAUCUUCAGUCUGUGGUAGCGUAUGAUUGCAUAUGAUAUUUUGACUUAUAAUACUUAAAUGGCUACUAUAAUCCCUUUGAAAGUGGGGACCUGUCUGGUGUAUAAUGCUCUACCGGGCACUGUAGAGAUGGUUUCCCCUUUCAAUUAGCAAUGAAUCUUUAAAAAAAAAAACUCACCUGCUAUCCAGCACUAAACAAAGCUCCUGGUGCUGCUAUCCCAUGUCCACUCCUAACAUUACUGGAACCACCCAUGAGAAGCUUGUGAUUGGACCAUUUUUACAGUUCAGAUUGCAUGUGCGUGCUCUGAGCUGGCAAGGGAAGGGAGGGAGGGAGGCAGAGAAAGGGAAUGCGGAGGAGGAAGGUAAGUGUUGUUUCUUUUUAUUUUUUAUUUAAUACACCAGUGAUGCAGAGGGAGGGGAGAGAGCUGACUUUCCCAUGCAGAGUUCUCAGCUACCAAUGUCACAUGUGCUGGGGGUACAAAAAACACCCUCCAGCACACAAUUACAAAUAUUUCUGUAUGUGCAGUGUUUCAAGCUGAAACUAUGCAGAUACUGACUCCUACCAAAUCACUGAAGUGGUCAUGAUGGUUGCAGUAACCCUUUAAUUAAAAUGUACUUGUGUUUCCAAUACAGUAGUUAUACCCUUUUUGCAUUGCUUUUCUAUGUACACACAAUAUAUAUAUUCUAAUUAAAUAUACAAUCAAAACUUGCAAUAGAUGAUGUUGUUUCCCUUGUAAUCGGGAAUUAAAAUGCUGAUAGGGGUGAUUAUUGUUACAUAACUCUCAGGGUAUGUAGUAUUGAAUGGCAAAAUUGUAAAUGAAGAGGGAGGCUGCUAUGUAUGUGACAGACAUGUUUUACUUUGAUUCAGGUGGUGUCCAGCUUUUGUUAGACUUUAUUAUUAUUAUUAUUAUUAUUAUUAUUAUUAUUAUUUUUAAUUUCUGUCAUUUGACAGCUUUUGUAUUACAAUGUUGUUAUGAUUUCCCUUGCAUUCCGAUUACCUUGAGUGAUAGGCCUUCUUUGUAGGUCAGUAAAAAUUUAUUUUCUGUUUAUAGUUUUAUGUGGGAAAAAUAGUCUACAUCAGUGGUCCUUCCUAUUGAUCUUUGUAAGGAAGGCGCAUAAUAGAAAAAAACUUUUGUAUAAUAUGAUGUUAUUUAACAGCACAGUUGCAUAUUCUGGGCAGAAUUCAGUACCAAUGAAAGUUUUAAAUAAUUUAGCCUAUUUGGGAUAUUGGAAGGAUGUUUGACAAAGCUUUGAGUUCCUUAUCCCGAUUUAGUAUAUUUUCAAAAUGGUGCUGCUCUUUGUUAUAAGAUUAUUCUAUUUUGUAUUGUCUUGCAUUCAAUAAAGAAAAAGUGGAUAUUGGGCUCUGGGUGCAAGAAAGAUGUAAAACCUAUUGCUAUGUGAUGUCAUAUUCACACAGCCAUGAAUUAAUAAAAUUACUUUGCAGCCCAGUGCACAAGUAAGUGUGACAUGAACAUUGGCUGGGGGCCUGAAGAAUGAAGUAACUAUGGGGGGACAGGUACUUUAUAAAGUUUUUCCAGUUGGCUAUGGCAUGAACACCAUUUAACAUUAAAGGGGCACAACCAUGAAAAUAUUUCUCCCUUAAUUCUCAGCACAGUCUUUGUAGUCCAUAGUAGUUUUAGAUAAAUAAAUUCAUUGAAUGUUAAAUUCUAAAAUAUUGUUUCAUUUGCUGCUGUGCAUGGGUAAAAAAUAUAAUUUUUUUUUAGCACUGGGUCUAAUCCAUGACAUCCCUUUAGAAAUACAUUCUGUAUAUGUUGCCUUAUUAUACUUAGAGAAAAAUGUCCACAUAAGCAAAAUGAGAACAAGCCUUAGUCUUAAACUAAUGGAAAACCGGUACAGUUCACAUAAUUUUUUUUAGGUGACAAGUAGAAAAAGAGGAGCAUAAUAAAAUAAUAAGAUUUAAAAAAUAUAUAUAUUUUUUUCUUUUGAAAUCCAAACUGCUCGAUGCAAAUACGACAUUUAUGUACACAAGCACGUGUCUUUUUCAUGAUUGUGUCCCUUUAACAAUCUUAUGGUAUUUGAUUUGUCUUACUACCAAACUUGAUUUAUAGCAUCGACUAUUCCGCAUUAAACGUUUUGAUUGCACUCUAACAUUCCUGCAGUUUUAUUUUAGAAAUAUUGUCUACUAGUUAUUUUUUAAUGUUCAUAAAACAUGUUUUUUUUGUUGUUUUUUUUGUCAAUGGUGUAAAAUUUUACAAUUUGUAAACAUGUUAUAUAAGACACUUGAUCACUGUAUGUUACAUUUGUAAGUUAUGUUGUACUGUAUGCAUACCUUCUUGCCAAAGUGACCUUCUAGACCUGGUGGUGGUUACAUUUUGCUCCCCUAAUAUUUACAAGCUACACUACCCAUGCUCGGCCAACCUCAGAGCUGGGAAAUGUAGUUUGCAAUAAUUUGGAGUGCCAAAGUUAGGCAUCACUGUAUUAGAUGUAAUGUUUGGACUAUAUUUACCAAAAGGUAAAAAAAAAAAACCCUGAGAUAUUUCAUAGAGUCCUGGGGUCAUCACCUUGAACUUAAAGCAUACCUACGAAGUGGGACAGUAGCCUGAAUAGCUUGAAACUAGCCUAUCUCACUGAGUAGUUGACUUUAAUGAGGUAUGUUAACGCAUCAUGCUAUAACGGUAGAAGACAAUGCUUUCACAUUUAGUAAAUACAAUCUUCUACUUGAUCUGAAUGUGUUUCCUUUUAAUAAAAAAAUCAUAUUCCAGUUAAAUUUGUUUGUUUUUCUUAAAAAAAACUUUCAUAUAAUUAGAUGCCGCAUUAAGUUUUGAUGUACUGAAUGAUAAUGUAAUUUGUAUAACAUGUCUUUUUUGUUUUAGACUGCUAUGUGAUGUGCUACAACACAUUUUCUCUUACAUUUCACCUGCACUGUACUAAUUAAAGAUCUUGUUUUCUUUUUCCCAGACACCUUUAAAAUAUAAUAAAUAUGAGCAGUUGUCUUCGAAGUUUGAAGAGAAAGUCACCUUUUGAUUUGGCAACCAUUACAUUUGUAUUCACAGCAGUAAAUGCUGUUAAGGCAUUUUAUUGGGGUGAGGUUUGUUGUGGUAACAGGGCACACCUUGACACUGCUGGGUAUUGUUGCCAACGUCCUCAGGUGGCAACUUUGGCAUUUUCUUCCAUAAUGCCAUACAUGCUGGGAACCCUUCCAAAAUCACAAUAAGAACACAUCCACUGCAUCAUAGGAGAAAUUGUAGAAAAUGUAAUUAAUAUUUUGAGAAGAAAUCAUACCAUUACUAAGUUUAUUAAAUUUGGCUUUCGUGCUAUGUAAAAAAAAAUAAAAAAUGACUGUUUUCACUAAGCGUAUUAAAAUUAAAGAGACACUGCCAAAAGGUUGUUUUUUAGUUUUUUUAAUCUAAUGUAUAGCAUUUAAUAUCGUGGAUGGCAACUAUCCAUAGGUUUUUACCUUUUAUUUAUUUCUACUUUUUCUCAAAAGAAAUUUAUACAUUUAUGCUGCCAAACCAACUCUGAAGUAAAACCUGAUGUUAUUAAAGUCGUUUCUAGAAUACGUUUUUGACAUAUUAGGCCCUGCUAUAUUUUGAGGAUAAGUGCUUUGUUUUUCAUGUAAAUUAUAAAUGAAUUCAACAUUCUGUUUAGCAUUUCAUAAAAUGUGUGCUUUAUAAAAAUGGAAAAAGACUGGGGAAUGUUUAUUUGAUCUGAGUGUUUUGCUUAAAAAGAAAUUUGCACUGUUUUUAUAAAAGAAUCCUUUGAAAUCGAUCAAGCUACCGACUCUUACAACUGUAACUGUUUUUGUGACUAUACUCAAAGUUGAUGAAAAA
rnacentral:lncRNA from 1 species